rnacentral:lncRNA from 1 species
UGGAUCUGAGAGAAAGCAUCAUCAACCAAAACAACUUCGCUCUGGGGCUGACGAAGCAGCUGCUUCAGACCGAAGGCAAGCAAUCGAACCUCGUGUACUCGCCGCUGUCCAUCCACGUGCUGUUGAGCCUGAUCGCGGCCGGGUCAAAGGGUCCGACUCAGGACCAGCUGCUGUCUUUUCUCCAGUCAAAGUCCACCGACCACCUCAGCUCCUUCGCCGCCGAGCUCGUCUCUGUGAUUUUCUCCGAUGGGUCCCCUAGCGGCGGCCCCCAGCUGUCGUUUGCAAAUGGUGGUUGGGUGGACAGGCGUCUCCCUCUGAAGCCAUCUUUCAAGCAGGUGGUGGAAACUUCUUACAUGGCCGCUCUCACCCAAGUCGAUUUUCAGACCAAUGUAAGCUCCCAAACCCUCUGUCCUGUCGUUUCGAUUUUUUUUUCGACGAUGCUCUUGAUCAAAGUCUUCUAUUUUUUCGAUGUGAUUAGAGAUGCUUGUUCCUUUGGGGUGCGUUUGGUACGCAGACGGAACGGGACGGAACGAAGGUGUAAUUUUUGAAAAAGGUAUAUUUGUCUUAAAAUGGUAAAACAUUGCGUUCCACAAACGUGGAACAAACCCGUUCUAGGGGGGAGGUGGAACGCAAAAACACUCAAAAUCUGUCCCGUGGAACAGCCCGUUCCACCCAUUUUUGGCGCACCAAACGAGGGACGGAACGACUCGUCCCGUUCCGUCCCGUCCCGUCCCACGUACCAAACGCACCCUUGUUGAACCUAAAUUGUAGGCCUGCUUCUCUAAUCAUUACUGUUUGUGUUAAAUUAUUAUUGCCAAGAACUAGAUUAAGUUGCAGUAAUCACAAUCAAGUAAAGCACAAAAACCUUUUCAUAUAAAAGCAUUGCAAUUCACUAACCUGAUGAACCGCCACCUGAAGACGCCAUGAAUGCUGCAAACCGAUCUCAGUGCACUGUAACUCUUCUCCUAUGAUGCACGGAUACUUCUAUUUGGUCCCGUAUCUCCCGUAUCCCGUAUCCGAUACUUGAUUGGAUACGAUACUUGCCCGAUACUCUUGGAUACUCGUCCGACAUGUAUCCUGGUCCUGCUUUUAAGAUACAUUUACACUUUCAAAAAAAAGUAAUGAGGAAGAGAAAAUUAAUAGGAGACAUCUAUAAUUGAAAGUUGCUAAAUACAAAGAGUUUCCCUCUAAUUAAAACCAUGAAUACGACUCUCACACUUCUUCUACUAUAUAAAGAGGAUUAGAUUUCGAACUUUCAUUCUCUAACAAUUCAAAUGUACUUGAAUUUGAAUGAUGAAUUAUGUUUUAAAAUGUAAAUUUUUGUUGCUAUAUACAUUUUUAUUUGCCGUAUCCAUAGCGUAUCGUAUCUUAAUUUUUGGAGAUUUUCCGUAUCGUCGUAUCGUAUCGCUGUAUCCGUAUCCGUAUCCAUGUUUCAUAGCUCUUCUCCUCUCUGUCAGAUUAUUUCAACCUCUAACCAAGAAUAGGGCUUAGUUCCGAAGAGAGCACUAAUCCGUGAGAGUAGAGGUCACAAUAUAUAUAUAUAUAUAUAUAUAUAUAUAUAUAGGAUUAAUGAACAAAUAUUUUUAGAAACAUUUUUACACUUCUUUAUUGCCUUUAGAUUUUAUAACAUGCAAGGAUUCUUAUUAAUUCAUUAAAUGCUAUGAAUGCUUACGUGAAAUUUAACUAAUAUUAAAGCUAAAAAUAAUUUUUUUUUUUUUAAAAUUCGUAGCUGUAAUCAUGAAAAUGGGGAAUGUGGUCUACAACCUCAUUCUCCCCAACUCUACAACUUCCACACUCGAAUAUUCUUAGGUAAGCAAAACAAAACCCUAAAAUUUAUAUUAUUGUUCAUAUAAGUAGGGUGAUUAAAUUAUAUUUUGGAAUUUUUUUUUAGUUUUGUCAAGUCAUGUAUUUGACGGGUUCUUUUCAAAUCUAACAAACAACCAUCUCAAUAUGCAGUCCAUGUGUUUCGAUUGAAAAUUUGUUGAAACAUGGAAAUGAAACGAGGCAAGAAAAUCAAUAUCUAAGUUACAAUCUGGAACCAAAAGCAUACAUUCUCAUAUGUACUGACAUCAAAAUGCAGGAACGUUACAUAAGCCACCCUUUUGAGUUCAAUCGAGAUUCGAAACAUAUGACAGCGUAUUGAGAUAGUUGUUUGUUUGAUUUGAAAAACUAAAGGAGUAGAAAAAUCUUCAAAUACAUGAACAGACAACUAUAUUUUGUUUCCAAAUCCGAAUUUAAUCAUCAUACAUAUGCGAACAAUAAUAUCAAAUUUAGGUUUUUGUUUUGCUUGCCUAAUGAGAUUCAAGCAUGGAAGUUGCAGACCUGGGGGAGAUAGGAGUUUGCAGGCGUGGAGGUUGCAGAGACCUCUUUUAGGGUUUCUUCCUUUUUAAUUUUUUUUUAAAUUUUUUUUUCUUCCAAAUUUUAUGUUUUUUUUUAUCUUUAAUAUUAGUUAAAAUCUACAUAAGCAGUCAUGGUGUUUAAUGAAUGAAUAAGAACCAUUGGAUGUUAUAAAAUCUAAAGGCUACAAAGAAGUGUAAAAAUGUUUGUAAAAAUAUUUGUCCCUUAAUCCUAUCCCUAUAUAUAUAGGCACAUAAAUUUCAUAACUCAAUAAGGAUUCCCUUUAAAAUCCUUUUAGAAAACAACUUAUGUUUCCCAAUUCAAAUCAGUUUAAUGUCAAAACAGAAUCCUUCGUAAACAAGAAUUAGUAUACAACCUCUCAUAAGGUUUUCUUAUACCAAUUGGACUUAAUGCUGUCAAAACAUCCAAUCUCAUGUUCAUACUCUUACUGUUUGUGCUUGUUCUUCUGCAUAGCUUAGCUGGCUAUUACAGAAUCAUAUCGUAAUUCGUAGAUUUUUGUUAUAGUACGGUCAUCACUACGUUAAUAGUAUUGAAGUAACAUGCAGGCUGAUAUAUUAUUGUUUUCUAACUUGUCGUAACUGUUGUUGGUGCUCAAGGCUGCUCAAGUGGCCUCGGGAGUGAAUUCAUGGGCUGAAAAGGAGACGAGAGGCCUUAUCAAGGAGGUACUUCCUCCUGGGUCAGUUGACUGCUCAACCACGCUCAUCUUUGCAAAUGCGUUAUACUUCAAAGGAGCUUGGACUGAAAAGUUUGAUGCAUCACAAACGAAAGAGCAUGAUUUCCACCUUCUCGAUGGGAGCGCAGUUAAGGUGCCCUUCAUGACCAACAGGAAGAAGCAGUGUGUAAGAUCCUUCAAUGGUUUCUCAGUCUUAGGGCUUCAUUACAAGCAAGGUGAAGACAAGCGAUGUUUCUCCAUGCACAUCUUUCUUCCAGAGGCGAAAGAUGGGCUGCCAGCUUUGGUUGAGAAACUUGGUUCUGAGUCCGGGUUUUUGGAUCGCCAUCUUCCCAAGCAAAAAAUUGCCGUGGGUAAUUUCAGGAUUCCAAAGUUUAAGAUUUCAUUUGGGUUUGAAGCUUCGAAUGUCCUUAAAGGUCUGGGCUUGGUGCUGCCAUUCGGUGGUGGAGGAGGUUUGACAGAGAUGGUGGACUCGCCUGAGGGUAAGAACUUAUACGUGUCCAGCAUUUUCCAUAAGUCGUUCAUCGAAGUGAACGAAGAAGGCACGGAAGCCGCAGCUGCUUCCGCCUUUCGUAAAACUAUGCUGUGUCUGCCGAGGGCGGUUGACUUUGUGGCUGAUCGUCCAUUCCUCUUCUUGGUCAAGGAAGAAUUGACCGGAGCCGUGCUGUUCAUCGGCCAUGUACUCAAUCCUCUUGCAGGCUGAGUGUUGUUAUACCCUGUGAAAUACAAAUGUAUACGAAGAACCACACGAGAAUAUAUAUAUAUAUAUAUAUAUAUAUAUAUAUAUAUAUAUAUAUAUAUAUAGGAAUUGCUUAAGGGGAGGGAUCCCCAUUUUUUCAAAAAAAUGGGGACACGCUCCCCACCGUUGGAUUUGAAUUAAAUGAAAUCCUGUGGUUGAGAUUCUAUGGCCUGUGUUUUAAUCUCAACCACACAAUUUCAUUAAAGUCAAUCUAACGGUGGGGAGCGUGUCCCCAUUUUUUUUAAAAAAAUGGGGAUCCCUCCCCUUAAGCUCCCUGUAUAUAUAUAUAUAAUGUACAAAAAUGCUAAUCUUGUCAUCUAUUUGUAACAUCUCUCUAAUAAAGAUGGAUCCACAUGCACUGGCGGGCCUUACAUCUACUAGAUAGAUGGUACAAAUAGGUGUUAAGUAUAGCAAUCAUGUAUUCAUAAACAAAAAUGCUAUUCUUACUAUUUAGUUUGAUCAUCUUUCAAUAGAGAUGAGACCUAUAUGUGUUGGCUGAUCUUAUCCUUAUUAAAAAAAUAAUACAAAUGAUGGUAACUAGAUGAUAAGUAUAGCAUUACUCUAAAAUAAAUGUAUGAUAUCAUGUUCAUGUGGUCUUGUUUCUCUCAUGUGGCUUUUGUUAUGCGUUCUGCCUUGGCUACACGAAACCGUUGGAAAUGCUUUGGGAUAGGCGUUUUACCCAUUAUUGUUGGAAAUGCUUUUUUCUUCGGUUGUACUGGAAUGGUUUGGACUAGACGUGUUUUUUUAAUUUAGUGGUUGAUUGUCUCAGUGAAUAGUCAUUCCUCAUUCAUUUGUGUUUUGGGUUCAAGUUCUCUUCUUCUCCUAGUCUAGUUAAAGUAAUGUCGCUUGUAAUAAAAAAUAAUUUAUAAACCCAAUUGAUUGAUAUUUAUUACACGUUUACUUAACAUGAGGUGGACAAGGCAAGAAACAAAUGUUAGAGAGAUUAUGUUUUUAGAUUUUAUUUCGUAGACCAUUUGGUGUGGUAGUUGAUUAUUAGUUUCUUUAUUUUUAAAUCAUUAAAGAAGAAAUUCAACCAUCAAUCGCCACACUAAGUGAUCUACAAAAUAUAGUUUAAGUAAAUGAUCCCCCUAUCAUCUCCAAAUUUUAUUUAUAUCAUUAAACACAUAAAAAAUAAAGGGUUACAUAGUAAGUAUGUCAUUAAGGUCAAAAACUUUGAAACAUAAAUACAAUUAGACACCUCUUAAGAUUCAAUUGUAAUAAGACCACUUAAAAAUAAGGUCCAGUUAGACCCGACAAUUUCGUACAUGAUUCAUUGACGCGACACUGAACGAUACUAAAAUAACAAGUUUCAUAUUAAGGUCAAAAACUUUGAAACGUAAAUACAAUUAGACACCUCUUAAGGUUCAAUUGUAAUAAGACCACUUAAAAAUAAGGUCCAAUUAGACCCGACAAUUUCGUACAUGAUUCAUUAACGCGACACUGAACGAUACUAAAAUAACAAGUUUCAUAUUAACACGUUAUUUAAUCGGAUAUAACAAGCCACUCGUUAAUAAUGAGUUAUUAACAGAUUUAUCCGUAAAUAAAUUGUUUCAACCUAUUAUUAUAUAAAGUUAGUGUUAAUGCAGGGUCCUUUUUGACCCCUAGAACAAUGCAGGCCCAAUAAAGAAGAAAAGUUCAAGUCUUAGUGCUAGGCAAAUUGUGGCAUAUUAAGCUAGGCUGGUGUGCUAGGCAAAAGGGACUAGGAUUCUCUCCUUUCAUUUUUCCAUCUCCUCUUCUUACAUUCUUUAUUUUGUUUUUCUCUUUCUAUAAAAAAUUAAUAUAAGAUAUUAACGUGACUUAACCGUGACCGUUCAAAUAUGAGGAGAAGGAAGAUGAGGGAAAAAAGAGGGGAGAGAAUCCUACUCCAGACAAAAGUGCUAGGCAUACAAUAUAAAUAGAACUUUAGGGUUUUAUUCUUUGUACGAGAUACAUAAGAAUUACAAGGGAAACACUUUCAGAAAUUGUAGGGGUGUGAGAUACUAGAAAAUAGGAUUUGCAAAAGCAGAUGGGGUUUUCUUGUAAAGUGGCCAAGUCAAACAUAAGUUCAAGCUUGUUUCCAACAUCCAAAUUCUUGAAAUCCAACAGUACAGCACGUGCAGGACCACCCAACGUAUCAUUGUAUUUUAUAUACAGGAUAAACAGAGCUGAAAUUUAAGCAGCAAUUUGAUUUUGAUUUGAGCACAUGCAACCACAUCUGCACGCGUUUGUCUUGCUAGAGCUUUUUCCUUGCAUACGCUUUGAUUUGUUUUUCCUUUUAUUCAAGUACUCUUUGAUUUUAUGUAAGGGAGUUUUAAUGGAAAACGUUUCACACAACAAAAUUUUCAAUGAAAAACACAUUAAUGAUUUUUUAAUAAAUUUUUUGAAUUGUCGGUUUUAUGAAGAAACAAUUGUUUGUUUUAAUUUUAACUUAAUUGUAAUAUUGUCACUGCGCCUAAAUUUUAACUUAUUUACAAUACUAUCACCGUCUUUUGCCCUUGUAAUCAAACAAAAUUCAUUAAGUGUUUUUGGAUAGAUAAAAAAAAAUUGAGAUCAUUUUCAUUAGCUUUUCUUUAUGUAGAUGAUAUUAAAGGAAAAGAGACAAUGGAAAAGGAAAAGAGUUGUUCGGACUUUAUGCAUCUUUGUCUGUAACUCCUUACACUAUAAAUAAGAAUUAGGACCAAAGUCGUCCUUCUGAAAAUUGAUGCUUAAGACAAGAAUGAAUGAGGCUUUCCUACCGUAAUACUUUAAUAUAAUUCCAUUUAGCAAACAAGUGAAAUUGGAAACUUUUUGACCCAAUUUACAUAUCAUCUCCACGUCAAUACAAAUUUGAGAGUAUAGGUUUUUUUUUUUUUGGGUUACUGAUAUAUUCAACUCCAAAUGUCUUCACAUUAUGUAGUCUCAUAGUACCAUACCAAACCCCGUACAUUUUUACAUGUCCUCUCCUAGUAUUUGACCCGGUUUGAAAUAGUAUUUUAUUCUUUUAAUAUUAACACACAUGUGAAAUUAAAAUUGAAGAUCUCUGCCAAAACUGAAAGGAUAAGUGUUACGACCAAUUCCAAUCCUUGAACCCAAAUUCAAAAAUUUGGGUCCACUAGAAGACAAAAUUUAGCUAUGUAAACAGACCCUCCAGACCUAAGUUUCAGAACUUAAAAUGUAUUAAUUAUUUUAGAGAAACUUUGAGUUAUGUUAUCUUAAUUUAGUUUUAUGAAUGUUUUAACCUAAAAAAAUUUAAAUUCCUACAAAAUUUCCAAAACGGAACAAACUACACCAACCAACCACUAACCCACCAAACUUCAAUGUAUACAUCAACCAACCAAACUUCAAUAUACAAUACCAAAUAUGCAUAUUAUUUUGAUCGUUGAAUUUAAAUUUCAGCGUUGGAUCGUUUUUACCAUUGGAUUUGACAAAAACAAAUAUGGAUUGUUCAAUCAAUUUCAAAGGAUUGCCCAAAAUAGAGAGUUUGAUCUGGACCAUUGAUAACCAAUGGUCCAAAAAUCAAAAGGCCACAGUUUUUAUUGGACAGCUGAGUUCCUUGCCAUGUGGGGGCUAGUUGUCGGCUACUAACUCUUAGAUCAGCCAAAUUUAAACCCAAAUUUUGAUUUUGAUUUGGAUCCAAACCCAAAUAUUUUAGGUAUGAGUCUCAGCUUUAGGUGGCAAAUUUUUGUGUUCAAACCCAAAUAUUUGAGUUUGGGUCUAAGGGCUGGAGUUGGUCUAAUAGAUCAAAAGCUAAUUCUUGGAAAAAUAGAUUUGUGAGACUAUAAUUUACACCUCUCUAGAACAUAAUAUGUUCACAUAUUAGCCCUAAACAAUGACAUCAAAGGAGAGGAAAAAUGAGAAGGAAAAGGAGAAAGUAAAUGUAGAAAAGGAAGGGGUGAGAAUGAGAGAAAAUUCCGGAGAAUAGAGAAAAGAAGGGAAAAGAAGACAAGAAAUUUUGGAGAAAAGAGAAAAAGAAGAAGGGAAAAGAAGAAAAGAAAAGGAGAAGGGAAAGUGAGAGGCAAGCUUCGAAGAGCAGAGAAAAAGAGGGAAAAAGAAAAGGAAAGGAAAGUCACCUCCAUCGUUAUGUCUACUAAUUGUUACCCAUUUUCUUACAAAUGGGAGUGCGAGACUGAAAAAGAAGAAAGAAAAAAAAAAAAACAUGGCCAGACAUCCAGAAAAUAUACAAAUACGCCAAAGAACAAAUUGCUCCCAAUUUCCCUUGUUUCUUGUUGUAAAUAAUGGGUAUGUUUGCCCACAUGUGUAUAGUAAUGUGUAUAGUAAAGUAUCACAUGUGUAUACUAUAUACUCAUAAGCUAAAUAGUAAUGUUUUGUAAUUUUCCAUUGAAGUAGCUCUAUAAAUAGAGCACUUCAAUUGUGCAAAGAUGAGUGAAUGAGAAGAAGAAAGAAAAGAGAAAUAUAUCUAAUAGCAAUAAUAUACAUUACUUCCUCUGCAACAGCUUGUGUCGGUAUAUUACUCUGCAACUGCUUCGUUCCUUCACCGAGUAAAGGUUAUCUCUCUAUAAAUUUUGCCUAUUUAUAACACGUUAUCAGCACGACUCUCUAAUCAUUUCUCAUUUCCUUUCACCGAAUGAAAAAAAAAAAAAGUUUCCUCUAAGGUUUUUACUGUUCUUCUUCUUCCUCUCCCUCAAUUGCUGGGUAUACCCUCGCGAAGAACUAUUUGCACCAUGUUUACUUCUAGUUCUCCAACUAACAUUCACUUAUAUUCUUGAUUUCUUGUUUGGUGUAGAUAUUGACUACUAACCCACUGAUUAUUUAUGCAAUCCAAGAUUGUGCGGUUCUAUCGCCUAUCUUGGACUGCAGAUCUAAUUUUACUGCAAAUUUUAAGUGGAGCGGUAUAAUCGCCCGCUCUAUCCUGCAUAUUUAAAUUUGCCCGUUAUUUAAUUUUAUCGCAAUUUUAGGUGGUGUGAAAUAAUCACCCACCCUGCUUUACAUAUUUAAUUUUAUCGCAAUUUUAGGUGGUGUGAAAUAAUCACCCACCCUGCUUUACAUAUUUAAAUUUUAUCGCAAUUUUAAGUGGUGCGGUAUAAUCGUCUACCCUGCUUUGCAUAUUUAAUUUUAUCGCAAUUUUAGGUGGUGCGGUAUAAUCGUCCACCAUGCUUUGCAUAUUUAAAUUUUAUCGCAAUUUUAGGUGGUGCGGUAUAAUCGUCCACCUUGCUCUACAUAUUUAAAUUUUCCUGCUGUUUAAAGUAGUGCGGAAUAAUCGUUCAUCCUAUACUUAUUUCGAUGAGAAUGGUGCGGUACAAUUGCCCUUCUCAUUAAUUGUGUAAAUCUCGAGCCUGAAGUUUCGAGUACUUAUCAUUUUGGCCUGAAGAUCAAAAAUUUGUAAGAACCAGAAGUUCUAACAAUAUAUUUCUCCAGUACACAUAUUACUGCAAGUUCUUACACACCUCAUUUUUCUUUCAGAAAAGAAAAUGGCAAACUUGGCAAAACUUGAUUUUGCUGCCCUGGACAUUACUGGAAAGAAUUACCUUACAUGGGUACUGGAUACCAAGAUCCAUCUGGAAGCAGCAAAUCUUGGAGAUACCAUCAAGGAAGAAAGCAGCUCAUCCUCUCAAGAUCGGGCAAAGGCCAUGAUUUUUAUUCGUCGCCAUCUUGAUGAGGCACUAAAGAGCGAGUACUUAACGGUUGAAGAUCCGUUAGCCCUUUGGAAUGCCUUGAAAAGCAGAUACAAUCACCAGACAACGGUGAUUCUUCCAAAAGCUCGCUAUGACUGGACUCACCUAAGGAUCCAGGAUUUCAAAUCAGUGGCUGAGUACAAUUCGGCGUUGUUCAGAAUUACCUCUCAGAUGAAACUCUGUGGGGAUACUAUCACUGAGGAGAUGUUAUUGGAAAAGACUUUCAGCACAUUCCACGCCUCUAACAUGGUAUUGCAACAGCAGUAUAGAGCGCGAGGCUUCACUGAAUACAACCAGCUGAUAUAUGUGCUCCUGGUAGCUGAACAGAACAAUGAGCUUCUCAUGAAAAACCAUAAUUCCCGACCUACUGGAUCAACACCGUUCCCAGAAGUGAAUGUUGCUUCCCUUGAAAGGAAUAUCAUAUCCUCCCGUGGCAAUAAUUACAAACGAGGACGUGGCCACAAGCAAGGUCGGUGGAAAGGGAAAAGCAAGAACCAUGGUGUCCAGUUUCACAACCAGGUUCCAAGGUAUAAUCCAGGCUCGAGCUUUAAAAAUACCAAUCGCCAGAAAGGAAAAGCUCAUGUGAACACUCCUAGAAGUCAUGAAGGAGGUUGCCAUAGGUGUGGUGGCAACGGACAUUUGGCGCGUACUUGUCGCACCCCAAAGCAUCUGGUGGAACUAUAUCAAGCCUCCUUCAAGGAGAAGGGUGUCGAGAUCAAUUUCCUUGACCAGGCUAAACCAAUGGAAACCCCUGAUCCAGUGACCAAUUUAUCAUGACAGUUAAACACAACCCACCUGGAUGCUACAGACUUUAUUAAUGAAAGAGGGAAUGAAGUUUAUGGGUCCGAUUGAAUUAUUUAUGUUUAAUGUACUCAUGUUAUUUGUACCUGUGGUUUAAUGCUCGCAUUUUCAAUUCAAUAAAAGUAGUAUUCCAGUAUGAAUAAACUGCUUUUUCUUUACUCAGAGAUCAUGGAUAAAAAUUAUGGUUAUUCUCAAAACAAGAUCAAUGGCGGAGACUUUUGUCUUGCAGAUAGCGCAACCACGCAUUCAAUACUUCGAGAUUGAAAGUAUUUCUCGAAUUUGGUACUUGCAAAGUAAAGGUAACAACAAUAUCAUGACCAUCAGAUGUAAUUGAAGGCUCAGGAAAAGCCCAGAUUAUGUUACCAAAUGGAACAAUAUUGUCUAUAAAGAAUGCAUUAUAUGCUACUCGGUCCAUUCGAAAUUUGUUGAGUUUUAAAAGCAUACGUCUAAAUGGAUACCACCUUGAAACGAAAAGUGUAGAAAAUGUGGAAUAUUUAUGCAUUACCUCCAAUGAUACCCAGAAGCGUAUAUUGGAGAAGUUGCAUGGUUUAUCGAGUGGAUUGUAUUGUACAUACAUAAAGACAGUUGAGGCAUAUACUGUCAUGAACCAGAAGUUCAUUGAUUCAAAGGUUUACAUGUUUUGGCAUGACCGUCUAGGUCAUCCAGGAUCUACCAUGAUGCGUAGAAUCAUUACCAACUCUAAUGGACAUCCAUUACUGAGCAGACACAUUAAUGUCUCGAAUGAUAAUCCUUGCAAGGCUUGUUCCCAAGGGAAGUUGGUAAUUAGACCAUCACAACUAAAGGUUGAUGAUGAAUCCCCAUCAUUUUUGCAAAGAAUUCAAGGGGAUAUUUGUGGACCUAUUCAACCACCUUGUGGACCAUUUCGAUAUUUUAUGGUUUUGAUUGAUGCAUCUACCCGAUGGUCACAUGUUUGCCUAUUGUCUACUUGAAAUGUAGCUUUUUGCGAGACUUCUUGCUCAGAUAAUUAAGUUGCGAGCACAGUUCCCAGAUCAUCCCAUUAAGUCCAUUCGACUUGAUAACGCUGGUGAAUUUACGUCUCAAACCUUUGAUGAUUACUGUAUGGCACUGGGCAUUAAUGUUGAACACCCUGUUCCUCAUGUCCAUACUCAAAAUGGUUUAGCAGAGGCAUUUAUCAAGCGGCUUCAAUUAAUAGCCCGCACUCUGCUCAUGAAAACGAAAUUUGCCAGUUUCUACAUGGGGACAUGCCAUAAUUACAUGCUGCAUCAUUGGUUAGAUUGAGACCCAUAGCCAACCACCAAUACUCAUCAAUACAACUCGUGUUUGGACAUCAGCCAAAUAUUUCACAUUUACGAGUUUUUGGUUGUGCUGCUUAUGUGCCUAUUGCACCACCACAACGAACUAAAAUGGGACCUCAACGCAGAUUGGGAAUUUAUGUGGGUUUUGAUUCACCAUCUAUCAUUAGAUAUUUGGAACCUUUGACUGGUGAUGUGUUUACAGCUCGUUUUGCUGAUUGUCAUUUUGAUGAGACAGUUUUCCCGUCGUUAGGGGGAGAAAAGACUGUUCCAGAAGAACGACAAGAGCUAACAUGGGUUGUUCCCACCUUAUCUCAUUUUGAUCCAAGAAGCACUCAAUGUGAAAACGAAGUGAAAAGAAUCGUUCAUCUUCAAGGUAUUGCUAAUCAAAUGGCAGAUGCAUUUAAUGAUGCUUCGAAAGUGACACAGUCAUAUAUACCGGCUGCAAACGCACCUGCAAGAAUUGAUGUCCCUGUUGGACAAAAUAAAGUGGCAGCGAAUGAUUCAUCCAGUGCACGCCUGAAGCGUGGUAGACCCCCAGGUUCAAAAGAUUCAGCCCCUCGAAAGAGAAAGAUGAUGGCCCAAUUGAACCCAAAUGAUAUCAUUCAAGAAAAGGAAUUGAAUGAUAAAUCCACAAUUCGUGACUCUGUACUUCCAGAAAAAGAAAAUGUCCUUGAUGAGACACAUGUCCCUGAAGAGACAGAAGUACAUGAAAGCAAAGAAAUAUCCAUAAAUUAUGCAUGUACUAAUGAAUUGUGGGAUCGAAAUGAAAUAAUCAUCAUCGAUGACAUGUUUGCAUUUGCAAUAGCCACUGAAAUUAUAUUAAGUGAUGAUAUUGAGCCCCGCUCUGUUGAUGAAUGCAAACAGAGACAAGAUUGGCCUAAGUGGAAAGAUGCAAUCCAGGCAGAAUUUAAAAUCCUUGGAAAGAACGAAGUGUUUUUGGACCAGUAGUCCAAACCCCGCCUGGUGUGAACCCCGUAGGUUAUAAAAUGGGUAUUCACAAGGAAACGCAACGAGAAAAACGAGAUUGCAAAGAUAUAAAGCACGACUCGUUGCACAAGGUUUUUCACAAAGACCUGGAGUUGAUUAUGAAGAGACAUACUCUCCCUGUAAUGGACACAAUUACGUUCCGUUACUUAAUAAGUUUUGGUGAUUUCAGAAAAACUUGACAUGCGACUUAUGAAUGUCAUCACCCGCGUAUCUAUAUGGAGAAUUAGAUACUGACAUAUAUAUGAAAGUCCCAGAAGGACUUAAGUUGCCUGAAGCAACUAACAAACCACGGGGUAUGUUCUUAAUCAAAAUUAAGGCGAUCACUAUAUGGGCUGAAACAAUCUGGGCGAAUGUGGUAUAAUCGUCUCAGUGAGUAUUUGAUUAAAGAAGGAUAUGCCAACAAUGUCAUUUGCCCUUGUGUGUUCAUUAAGAAAUCAAAUACUGGAUUUGCUAUAGUGGCAGUAUAUGUCGAUGAUAUGAACCUAGUUGGAACCCCUGAAGAGCUCAACAAAACUGCUGAAUAUCUGAAAAGCGAAUUUGAAAUGAAAGACCUUGGGAAAACCAAAUAUUGUCUAGGCCUGCAGAUCGAGCAUUGUGUUAGUGGAAUUUUGGUCCAUCAAUCAGCUUACAUUGAAAAAAUACUGAAGCGAUUUGGCAUGGACAAGGCUUAUCCACUUAGCACCCCAAUGGUCGUUCGUUCAUUGGACAUUAAGAAAAAUCCAUUUCAUCCAAAAGAAGAUGAUGAACUGGUCCUUGGUCCAGAAGUACCAUAUUUGAGCGCAAUAGGUGCUUUAUUGUAUUUAGCACAAUGUACUAGACCAGAUAUAGCUUUUUCAGUUAACUUGUUAGCCAGGUACAGCUCUGCUCCAACAAUUCGUCAUUGGAAGGGAAUCAAAGAUGUUCUACGAUACCUUCGUGGGACAACAGAUAUGGGUCUCUUCUACUCAGACAAGCCCACAAAUGAACAAAUCCUUGUUGGAUACGCAGAUGCUGGUUUUCUCUCCGAUCCGCAUAAAGCCCGCUCACAAAAUGGAUAUGUGUUCACUAAUGGAGAUACUGCAAUUUCAUGGCGAUCAACAAAGCAAACGCUAGUUGCAACAUCUUCCAAUCAUUCGGAAAUAAUUGCUUUACAUGAAGCAAGUCGUGAAUGUUCUUGGUUAAGAUCAAUGAUCCAUCACAUCCGGAAUUCAUGUGGUCUACCUUCAAAGACAGACACUCCAACUGUCAUCCAUGAAGAUAAUGCAGCCUGUGUCGCCCAGAUGAAGGAAGGAUUUAUCAAAGGUGAUAAGACUAAACACAUAUCUCCAAGAUUUUUCAGUGCACAUGAGCUUCAGAAGGCUAAAGUUAUUGAAGUCAGACAAAUCCGUUCCAAUGAAAAUUUAGUAGACUUGUUCACCAAAUCUCUACCAAAGUGCACAUUUCAAAAGUUGGUACAGGGAAUCGGAUUACGACGGCUUACAGAUUUGAAGAAUGCGGAAUCAGGGGGAGAUACAAUUCAGGGGGAGCAUCCAUGAUACAUGCAUGUUGUACUCUUUUUCCUUCGCUUAGGAUUUUUCCCAUUGGGUUUUUCCUAUCAAGGUUUUAACGAGGCAACCUAAGCAUGCUCAACACCAUCCGGGUAAAGUUGUACUCUUUUUCCUUCGCUAUGGUUUUUUCCCACAGGGUUUUUCCAAGCAAGGUUUUCCAAGCAAGGUUUUAAUGAGGCAACUGAUGUUGAUAUGUGGGCAUCCAAGGGGGAGUGUUGUAAAUAAUGGGUAUGUUUGCCCACAUGUGUAUAGUAAUGUGUAUAGUAAAGUAUCACAUGUGUAUACUAUAUACUCAUAAGCUAAAUAGUAAUGUUUUGUAAUUUUUCAUUGAAGUAGCUCUAUAAAUAGAGCACUUCAAUUGUGCAAAGAUGAGUGAAUGAGAAGAAGAAAGAAAAGAGAAAUAUAUCUAAUAGCAAUAAUAUACAUUACUUCCUCUGCAACAGCUUGUGUCGGUAUAUUACUCUGCAACUGCUUCGUUCCUUCACCGAGUAAAGGUUAUCUCUCUAUAAAUUUUGCCUAUUUAUAACAUUUCUUACAUUGUAAAUUAUAUUUCGUGUAACGAGAAAUCAGUAUUGCUACUUCGGGGAUGUUGGCACAACUUGUCGAACCUUGUAAAUAUUGUGUCUUAUAUACAUUUUUCGCCACUUUAUAUAUUUCGUAUAUAUGUGCAACAUAUGUUCCAACAAGAUUCUUAAGGUGUAGCUCAAACAUUAACAGAAGAAAAAUGUUUACAAAAUCUACUAUGCGCAACAUGAUUUGGUUGACGACAACAUGUCUAUGAAGUGUUCGACGAAAUGCCUUAGUGAACAAAUUGAAAAUUUUUUUUGCACGUCUCGCUCUCUGUUUCUAUCUAAAAACUUGGACCUAACACUGGGACCCUAAGAUUUGAAUUCUAAACCAACCACUGCCACAAGUGUUCUCUUUUGGUCCAACCUAUAACUAUAGAAAAAGCAUAUAACUGCACAACAAUUCGAUCAACCACCUCAAGUUCAACCAUACAUGUACCCAUAUUUAGGUUAUUCCGAACUUACCUUAUGAAAGUAACUAAACAUUACUGCCACAUUAUUAUGAAAUUCUAUCAAGUUUGAAUUUUUGUCUCAUAACUAUAUCAUCUAUAAGACAAUUGGUAACACUAGUUGGUGGAUUGACGAUUGGUAGAAAUGGCUUCAACAUUUGAAGGACGAGAAAUGAGUAUGGAGCACCGAUCAAAACGUGCUGUAUUUUAUCACUAAAAAUCUAAGUGCAAUUAGAAAUGCAUUUUAUCAAAAAAAGGUAAGCAAUUAUUGAUAUAAAUUGUAAUUUAUAAGAUCACAUAUAAAACAUGCUCCUUCCUUUUUCUUUUCAUCUCUGCCACUAGUGGCCAACCAAGACAUAAAGAAAUGCUUUUUGGGUCAAUGCAUGUGAACGACCCAUUUUAUAAUUAUUGGUAAUUUUCAUGGGAGUAGAUAGGAAUGACCCAAUUAAAUAUUUCCCCUGCACACCAACACUUGCAAUGCAGCUAGCAAAGAGUUGUUUGAACACCGAUCCACAUCAAUGGCUCUUGUGAGAACAUCUCCAGGGACCUCCUCUGAUUCCAACACUUUUCGGGGUUACCGAUACGACGUGUUCUUGAGCUUCAGAGGCGAAGACACUCGUAAGACUUUUACCGACCACCUCUACACAGCCUUGAACAACGCAGGAUUUCUCACGUUCCGGGACAACGAUGAACUUGAGAGAGGAGAAGAUAUAAAGCCAGGACUGCAGAAAGCGAUCCAGCUGUCACGAGCUUCUGUUGUCGUGUUUUCGAAAGAUUACGCGUCAUCCGGAUGGUGCCUUGAUGAGCUUGUGCUGAUCCUUGAACACAAGAGGACCACCUCGAACCAUGUAGUUUUACCAGUCUUCUACGAUGUCGAUCCGUCCCACUUGAGGAAGCAGAUGGCAAGUGUUGGAAAAGCAUUUGCUAGACACGAGAGGACUCAGUCGUCGAAAAGGGUGAAGGGAUGGAGAGAGGCAGUUGCAGAGGUUGCAGAUCUAGCAGGCAUGGUCUUACAAAAUCAAGAUGAUGGGUACCUUUCAUUUUCUCCAUUUCUCUCCUCUUUCUUCAGUCAAUUUGGUAAUAUGAUCCGUAGGACCUUGAUUUAUAUUAAUCAAUCUCAGUAGUGAAUAAUAAUCCCAAUUUAAAGAAAUCACAUUUUCCAUGGUAGUCUACAUGAAGGACCUAAGACACAAAAAGUAAACAAAAACUCUCAAUUUUUGUCUAGAAUCUUAUCUGCAAGAAAAUCGAAUUAUUGUUGAAACUUGGAUUCGAAUCAAAACAUUGAUUCAGAGCUCUAACAAUCCAAAAUAGUCACACAGCGAACAAUUUCUCAAAUAACGAAGUCAAUACUGGACAUAUAUACACCAAAGAAAAGUCGAAAACCUAGCUUCAAAGUUGGACAUAAAUUCAAAUAAGUACUUAUAAUCAAUUGAGAAUAACUCUAAAAUUAAAGCAGCACAUCCCUCUCUCUCUCUCUCUCUCUCUCUCUCUCUCUCCCUCAGCCUUAUGUCUUUUAUUUUUAAUUUUUUUUACUACUACAGGUCCACUAUCCACUGUCCGCCUUAUGUCUUAAUAAAACACAUAUAACAUAUCAAACACUAGAGAGAAGAUCUACACUUUAGUUCAUCAAAAAAAAAAAAAAAAGCCUACCACUUUCCAAAUGAAAAAAAAAAAUUAGUCUCAUUAGGAUGGUUUAUUACCCAUGACAUGUUUGAUUUAUUUUUUUUUCAUUUCGUUUGUAAAUUCUUAGGUACGAAUCAAAGUUUAUCAAAAAAAUUGUUAAAGUGAUUGGAGGCAAGUUAAGUCGCACACCAUUGAGUGUUGAACCAAAAUUGAUUGGAAUCAAAUCUCAAGUCAAAGACAUCAAUUUGUGGCUACAAAAUGGAUCAAGUGAUGUUGGUAUACUUGUUGUGUAUGGCAUGUCAGGAAUAGGGAAGACAACCAUUGCAAAACAUGUUUACAAUUCAAAUUUUAUUGGCUUUGAAAGAAGUAGUUUCAUUGAAAAUAUCAAUGAAAGAGCUGAUCGACCAAAUGGCUUAGUUCAAAUACAAAUGCAACUUCUUUCCGAUAUUUUGAUCGGUUGCGAAGUGAAAAUACAGACUGUUAGUGAGGGAAUAAUUAAGAUUGAAAGCGCCAUAAGCUCUAGAAAAGUUCUACUUGUUCUUGAUGAUGUGGACCGUAUGGAUCAAUUAGAUGCAGUACUAAAAAUGAAAGAUCGGUUUUAUCCCGGAAGUAAGAUACUUAUAACAACUAGGCGUGAAAGAUUGCUAAGAGCACAUCAAGUUAUAAAGGUGUACAAAGUUGAAACUUUGAAUUACAAUGAAUCACUAGAGCUUUUCAGUUGGCAUGCAUUUGGCCAGGAUCGUCCCACAGAAGAUUACAUGAAGCAUUCAAAAAUGGUAGUGCAACAUAGUGGCGGACUUCUAUUAGCUCUUCAAGUUUUGGGUUCUUCUUUAUCAGGGGAAAGCAUGGGUGUAUGGGAAAGUGCCUUGGAGAAGCUAAACGUUAUUCCUAAUGGUGAAAUCAUGAAUAAACUAAGAGUAAGCUAUGACAGUUUACAAGAUGACCAUGACCGAAAAUUAUUCCUCCACAUUGCUUGUUUCCUAAUAAAAAGGAACAAAAACUACAUUGCUAAGAUACUUGAUGGAUGUGAUUUCUAUACAAUUGUUGGCAUUCAAAAUCUCAUUGAUAGAUGCUUGGUGACAAUUGAUAAAUACGGCAAGGUGAAUAUGCAUGACAUGAUUCGUGACAUGGGGAGAGAAAUUGUUCGUCUAGAAUCAGAAGAGCCUGAGAAACGUAGUAGACUAUGGCGCCAUAAGGAUUCUUUCCAAGUAUUGAGGGACAAGAAUGUAAGAAACAUGCCUUUAAUGUCUGUAUAUGUAUUUCUUCUUGUGAAAAUUAUUCAUACUAACGUUUUCCGCUUUUUCCUUUAGGGUACAAAAAAAAUCCAAGGUAUUGUCCUGAAUAUGCUUAUGCUUCCUGCACAUAGUCCAAUAAAUACAAAUGAGACAGUCUUGGAAACCAAUGCAUUUGAAAAGAUGCGCAAAUUACAGCUACUACAUCUUAGUCAUGUACGACUGGAUGGAUGUUAUGCAGAUUUCCCUACAAGAUUAAGAUGGUUGUGUUGGCUUCAAUUUCCAUUGGAUUCUAUACCUAUUGAUUUUCCUUUGGGGUGUCUAAUUGUUCUUGACAUGCAAUAUAGUAGCUUGAGACAAGUCUGGAAAGGAACAAAAGUAUGUUAGUCUACGCAUUUCAAUUCAGUUUUUUAUUUUUUGACCAAUUGCAUAUGUUAAAAUUAACUCCUACACAUUUUUUUUUUAAAUUUUACACAGUUUCUUCCAUCAUUGAAGAUCCUUGACGUCAGCCAUUCUCAUGCCCUCACUGAAAUCAUGGACUUCUCACUUUGCCCCAGUCUAGAAGAACUAAUUCUUGUAGAUUGCACAAGCCUGAUUAAUGUUCAUGAAUCCAUUGGAAACCUGGAGAGGCUUGUGUACUUAAACGUGGAAGAUUGCACGAAUCUUAGGAUGCUUCCGAAGAACAUGUGUUUGCUUAAAUCACUUGAAACACUCAUUUUAUCGGGUUGCUCAAAUCUUGAUGAGUUUCCAAUGGAGAUGAUGAAGAAGAUAGCUCUGAAAGUUCUUGAAACAGAUGGAAUUCCAUUAAGUGAAUUAUGGACAGAAAGAAGUUCAAGUAUCUUGAGUUCUUUUCCAUGCUCUUUAGUAGGGUUGAGUCUAAAGGGGUGCAAUCUUUCUGAUGAUGCCUUUUGUAGGGAUUUAAGUAGUCUAUCCUCGUUGCGAAGACUAAAGUUAGGUGAGAAUCCAAUUUCCAGUCUGCCAGGUUUCAUCAAGGGUUUGAGGAGGCUCGAUAAACUCUCUUUCAAGGGUUGUGAUAGGCUCGAAUCGCUUGUGGGGUUGCCGAGAGUACACAAAAAGAUGGAUGUAUCCGAUUGCAUAUCAUUGAAAGAAGUAACAUAUCAAUCGUUUAGAGGGUUCCAACUAAAUGCCUUUGCGAGAGAAAACUACAACGUAGUUGAGUGGGAGUACCAUCACAAGUUAGAGCCUAUUGAUAGAGUUGAUGCAGAAAUGAUCAAACUUUUGGGCUUGUGCAACUUGGGAUCCAUGCCUGCAAUUCGAAUGAACAGCCCAAAGGGUUGCUUUCAUUCAAAAGAGGAUAGGUGGAGUCCCGUCCAGGUGCGCUCUCUCUCUCUCUCUCUCUCCCCCCUCUCCCUUUCUCUCAUAAGUCAAAUAUAUAAUGGGAAAUAAAUGACUCAGUAAUGUUGUGAUGAUCAUGGAAAAUGCAUAGGGACUCUAUCAAUUUGGUAUAUUCAGCACAUUUUUUGUUGGGAAUGAGGUUCCAGGCCAGUUCAGCUAUAAAAGUACCAAGUCCUCCAUAUCUUUUAUUGUCCCUUUACUCAUUGCUAGUCACAAAAUCCGAGGCUUAAACAUCUCUGCUACCUAUGCAAAUGAGGAGAAUUCUAAUUAUAUUGAUGAUGGUUAUAAACGUCCAAUAAUAAUCAAAGUGAGUAACAAGAGCAAGGGUCUGAAGUGGAUCUAUGUCCCAGCUUUCUACGGUAUUCCAGAAGAGGGAGAAGAUAUGAUAUGGUUAAGCCAUUGGAGGAUGGAGAGUGAAACAACAUUACAAUGUGGAGAUGAAGUGCUUGUUUUAGUACUCUUGAGCCUUGGUAAGUUUCAGCUCAAGGAGUUUGGUGUCGAGCUUGUGCAAGAGCACCAGAAUAAUAUGAUGAUAAGUACCCAACACAACAUCAAAUCAGAUCCUAAUUACCCUUUUGUCAUCGGUGGAGAUUUGUCCAUGUGGGAGUAUAUACCAGGAAUAUACUUCCUCGGUUGCGAUAAAGAAACUGUUGAAGACACUGAUGUCUUUUCGCAGAGAUUUUUAAAUUGCCUGAUCAUGGACACUGAUGAAGAAGACACAGGUAUGCUGUGUCGUUGUUGUAUUGCAAUGAAUUAUACUGCAUCCAAACACUUCCAAGUCCAUCUGUAUUCAAUCCAAAAACAUAAAUUUUAUGUUAUUUGUAUGUUUUUCAGACAAAGAAAAAGGGCAAGAGGAUGAACCUAAUUACACAAUUGCAAGGACGAGGGCUGCCAGUAACAACUGCAGCCUUGGAGGCUGGAAGGUGCUCCUCACAGCUGCCGGCUUAUUUUUCACGCUUGCUCUAGUAGUUCGGUCCUCCAUCUCCCAGAAAAAAAAGCGACUCUAGUCCACAAGCCAUCCAUGAGUUUGUAAUUUUAUUUGAUACAGACAUAUCUUUGGAUUCCCUCCUUGUUUUUAAGAUGUUUUCUGCCUUCAAAAUAUCGAAGUUCAAAUGUGUUCAAAAUCAUCAAAUAUUGCAUAAAAUACAUCCUACAUUAGCGAUGCUUAAAAUUUUUCUUCCCUGCCACUGAUUGCAUACAAUCAUGUACCAGAGAAGAUAAACAAAUGAUUCUAUAGCAGCAGUAAAUAAUUGGGAAAAAAAAAUGAUUCUAAACAUACAAGGGAAGGACUUUGACAUAGGUAUCUUUAGCAAUACCAGGCAAAAAUCAAUUCUUUGAACUGGGGGAAAAUAUUUUGGCACCGGGGAAAGUGAAAACAUCCUAUCUGCUUAUAAAUGUCAAAUUUACUGGUGUUAAUUGUCAUUUACAACAAAAUCAUGCUUCGUAAAAGAUUCGGCUCCCAUUGAAAAAUUAUGUAAAUUACAUAAAUAUCAGUACAACAGAUAUUAGAUUGACUAAUAUAUCAAAUAAAUUAAGAGCAGACAAUUUCUUAGCCUGCGAUCUAAGGACUAUACAGCUGAUUCAGCCUUGCGUUGCUACUACACUACGAAAGCUGGUUUCUGCUUCUUCAACCCGAACAAAUUAUUAAGGUCAGGAAGCAUAGGAGAAACGACCACGGUCUCUGGAGCCAUGAAAUUUUCUGUCUUCUCAUAAACAUUGUCACUGCUAGCUUGUUCCAUUUUUAAAGUUACAAAAACACAAAAACUUGAACAAUAGAAGUUCGGGAUCGAUUAGGUUCCAAGCCCACUAUAAGCUGAGCAAUACAGUGUCAUUGACUUCAAUGGCUGCAGAUACAGAUUGUUUGAAUAAAACUCUCCUCAUGACUCAGAUUUAGUUCUUAAAGUUGGUUAGACGAGUCCGAAUUGUCUGAAAAUCAUGUUCAUCAACUCCACAUAUCCAAAGCAGCAAAUUAAGGAGGAUACCGGACAUCACUUAGGACAAUACAAUCCUUAACAAUUUCCAAAAGCCACAGUUUUUAUAUGCAAUCUGAUUACAUGUGUUUUGAACUACAGGAAAUCUUAUAGAUUGGGUAAACCGUAUAUCAAAUUCAAAUGCAAUCAUUCAUAUAUGAAGUAUGAGAUGCCCAAUAGUUUUACCAAAAGUUGCUGGGUCAAUUGUCUCAAAACAUUCUUUUAGAAAUUGCUGGUAAAACUCAGAGUCAUCCAAGGGGUCACCAUCAGCUUUUGCACCAGCAUCAGAUUGUGUCUUAUCAGAGUGAAGGAAUAAAAGUACUUAACUUGUGCAAAUAGAAAUAUAACUUUUAUAACACAUCAAAGAGAUAAUUAAAGCAAACCUUACAGGCUACACAUCGAAGCGGCAAACGAAUACUAAUUUUAAACAUAAAGAUGCAAUUAAAGGUAAUGGCGCAUGAAGAGUAUUGAAACCGUCACAGUCCUCACACACAGGUUGCAUGAUCUUUUCUUGUAGCAAUAAAAGAAACAAAUUCAUCAAGUCACAUUGGGCCAUCCAAAAAGAAAAAUGAAGCAAAGUACCAAACACCACAAACAACCCAAAUUUGUUCAAACGUAGUAUCAAACUAAUUAUAGACUGCAUCCAUCCCAAACAAUUAAUUUGUACCUCAUUUGGGAGUUAAAAACUUACAACAGCACAUGGAAAAAACGUAAAUUCCAUGGACAUUCGAUUCCAAUGAACUUACAUGCAAUCAGUAUAGGAUUAUAGUUGACCACAAUUACAUGCAGUCAGUACCUCUCCCUUUGCAGAGUUGUACCCCUCAGGAACCUGCACAUCCACAACUUAUGUUUAAGUUAAUGUACAAAACUUAAGAAAGCCCCAUCUUGUUAUGAUGUUAAAAUUAUGAAGCAAAAAUGAGCAUGCACGUGACAGUCAAUAUCUUACAGGUACCAAAUACAGCAACUGCUGAUUUCCUCAUCUGCAUCUGCCUAACCAUUCUGCUUGGAUCUCUCAUAUAUGAAGCAACUUGUUCGCUAAUAUUCAGCGAUUGGGAAAGGAAAAAUGUAUUCCUGGUGAAUAUCUGGCAAAGCAUGGCACAAGUCCUUCAUAGGGAAAGGCAUGGUUACAAGUUCAAUUAUAGAGCCAGACUUGAUUAAAAGCAUGCAGUUUGCUUUUAAUAGCAGCAGCAUCUGUGGUCACCUCUGUCUUCCUCUGCCAUUUGUUUAUCAAUUUGUUUCUGAAAGUAGCAUUCUACAAGAUACAACGUGACAGGCCUUAGUUAGACCAAGUAACCAACAUGGAAAUGUAAACAAUAAUGAAAAGUUGAACAUAGUAGAACAAAUUUCUAAAAUUCAUGCAAGAGAAGUUGUCGGAGCAUGAAAGAAUUCACAGCAGAACUGCCCAAGAGUAUACUUAAAUUAAACAUAUGGCAACAUAGAUUUUUUACAAGUAUAAUUUACAAAUGCAUUCCAUGGUUCUUUGCCGGCCCCUUUAGAUAACUAAUUUAAUUUAGUGCCUAAUGGAAUUUAAAUUUCAGAAAACUAUCGUCUGGUAUAUUUCAUAUUAAAUAGUUGACAAACUUUAUAACAUAAUAGCGUCAUUUAUUAACUGAUACGAACCAUGUAGUAAAAUAUAACAAAAGUUAGACACCAAGGCAUUGAAAUACAGCAAUAAUAGUAAGGUACUUGAUUGAAUCCACCAUUUACGAGAAUUUUAACAAUAAAACAAUAAAACUUCGAAGUUCUUUUUGCUGCUCCAAAUGGAUCAGCGAAGUAUGGCAUGAAGAACGGAAAAAAAAAAUUCAGUUUUAUAGAUAGACUUCAAUACAGUAAGAGCAUAUGUACAUAGUAGAAUAUGAUUCUUCUUCUCAGAGUAUCUAAUUAUGAUUUGAGUACCUCGACAGCAACUCAGAAAUUCAUGACCAAUCCUCAUCACCAUCACCAUCACUGCCAAUGUUUUUAGAUGACUGUGACAUCUUAGAUCGUCCAGAUUUACCUACAGAACAGGAUAUGUAUUAGGAAAAGCAAUACAUGAACAUAUGCAGUAAGAAGUUAAUGAAAAUGCAAACAGUACAAAGUGGGACAGUCAAUUAGACCAUGGUAGCCCCAAUGCCAACUUUUUUUGCUAAAUGAUGCUAAGUUUUAUAUGAGAUCAAGCAGGAAAGAUAUGUAUUGACAUCCUAGGGGCUUUUUGAAAUCUGGCUUCAUCUUUGCUGUCCUUAGAUCAACAAAACAUGGCUGCCCAACCGAUUUACCUUCCAUGCCAACAUUAUGCUUUUGACAACUGCAACAAAUACCUACCUCUAUAGUGGUGAUUUAAUUGAUGUUUCUGUAAUCAAACUCCCAAAGUGUCUACUGUUUGUUGAAAACAACUGAAUUUCUGACCAAUUGGACUACUUUGAACUUCCCAAAGUGUAAUAUCUUUAGUAGAACAUAACCUGGUCAAUCCAGUAAGUUUUGUGCGAAACUCAUUGAAAUUCCUUACCAUUGAGGUAAACUUGUGGCUCAUUUUCUGCACAUUGAUGAGGCCGUUCCAACCCAGACUCAGCUUCACCUAUAGAAACAGAAAUUAACUAGGACAAAGCAACACGAUGCAUUGUCUCUCUUCAAGCUUGAGAAAAUGACAUACCUUGCAAGAACCCAAAGAACUUGACAUGUUCAUGCUCCGGCCAAUAAUAUCCAUCAGCAUAUGUCCAUUUUAGUACACGCCUAUAUUCAACUAUUUGAAAAUAGAGAAAAUUUAAUAAGAAAAAGCAGUAAACUCUUGGUAGAAAAGUGUGGUAAUUUGUGGUGUACCUGUAGCCAGGCCUCUGUAAUGAACUUCAACUGUGACUCAGGUUGGCACUACGGGCUGGUUUGGUAUUGCUGUGCUUUAAAAAAAAGCUGCUGUGAGAAUAAGCGGUUGUGCUGUGAGAAUAAGUGACUGUGAAAUAAAUCAGCAGAGCGUUUAGUAAACUUUUUUGUAAAAGUGGUUUUGGAAAAAAAGCAGUCUGAUAGUGGGUCUUUUCAUUAAAGGAGCACUGUAACUCCGUGAGCUUUGAAACAAAACCAGUUUUCCAAAGCUGCAAAUAGCAGCUUCAGUUUUUUCCUUUGAUUUCAGCUUAUUCUCACAGCAGCUUCCAAAAUAAGCCCUCACAGCUUUUUUUUUUUUUUUAAACACCGCACACCCACUCAUCUACCCCGCUCCCUUCCUUCUCUCCUUUCUCUCAUCUGCACUUUCUCUGUUACAGCUUCACUCUGUCCGGGAAGUCAUCGUCAAAAUCGACGAAGGCGCAGAUUCGUUCACAAGCACCAGCGACCUGCCAAAAGUGGCAGGAAGAUUUGGCGGCAGUCCAGCAUCGAUUUCUGGCACGAGGACGGCAACGGCGAUGCCGAGAAUUUUGAUUUCGUGCAGCGAGGGAAGACGGAGGAGGUGAAUGGGGAGGAUCCGCCGUCGAAGCUGAUUGCAGCGAGCCUCCGGCGAUAAGACGCUGGAUAUGGAUUUGGAGAUGGAGGAGCUGUAGCAGAACGAGCGCGAUUUGCCGCCCCUCGCCGAGUCGCCGAGUCCGAGAAACUUGUGCAACUCGAAGGAGCUCAAAGUCUCGUAUCAAUUGCCGGCGUCGGACCUCACCGAUACGCCGCAAACUGAGUCAGUUCAGAGGCGAUACAGAGAGUCCCCUGACGAGGAGCGACGCCGCAGCGAGAGGUUGGGCAACGGACAGGACGACGUCGUCCGGUGCACUUCCAACUCCUCAUUCCGCCGAGAGCCUUCGUUCUCGAACAAGUCCGAUUUGUUGAGAAUAAAGACCAAGUCCAGACUAAUCGACCCGCCGGAGGAGCCGGAUUUCAAGUCGGGUCGGAUCUCGCGAUCGGGACAGAUGAGGUCCGGGUUGCUGGGCCGCGGCGGCGACGACUCGACGACCCAUUUCUGGAGGAGGACGUGCCGCACGAGUACAAGAGAGCGAACUUCAACGCAUUGACGCUGCUUCAGUGGGUAAGCUUGGUUUUGAUCAUUGGGGCACUGGUUUGCACGCUGACGAUUCCAGUUCUGAGGGAGAAGAGGAGGGAGGGAAGAGGAGGGAGGGGGUCGGGAAGGGUGGGACAGGAUGCCCAGAAAAAAGUUUUUUUUUUUUUACUUUUUAAAAUUUUUUUUUUAAGCUUUUAUUGACGUGGCCGUCACGUCAUCAAUUAACAACUGACCGAACAUCCAACUUAACGGAUGUACAAAACUGUUCCAAAAAAUUAAGACAUGAGAUAUGAUUGGACUGAAAAUAACUUCAUGUACCAAAUAUUAAAAUUCACAAAAUUACAAGAUAGUAAACUGAGAUUAACCCAAAAAUAAAAAGAAAUUCAUGCACAUGAAGCCUAUGAUAAAUGUCAAUUAAUUGACAUUAAGUCAAAGAAAGUAUCUGCUAAAGCAUAUUCAGUUCUCCCGUCCUAUUCUGAUAACUGUCCGAACCAUGAAUAAGAUACGAUUGGAUCAUCAUCCAAGAAAUGGUACAGGUCGUUCGCAUCCUCAAAUAGAAUUUUCCUGGUGCAACAUAAAAGCAUUGUUGAAAGCGAAUCAGGAUUCUCUCCUGAGCACAUGGUCAGGAUCCUCCUGACCACGCCCAUCGGGUCGUUCAACUUUUAUCUAACGGUUAUAAUUAUUAUAACUUUUAGAGGGCCCCCUGUUUGUAGCAGUUGGAUAAAAUUUAAACGGUCCGAUGAGCCUGAUCAGGAGGAUCCUGACCAUGUGCUCAGGAGAGGAUCCUGAUUCGUUGAAAGCAACGGAAGAAAAUAUGUCAACAAUGGCAUAAUAUAUGUGAGGUAAGUUGGUUUGACAUGAAAAAAAAAAUUGUAAUUGUCCACUCAUAUUUCACGCCUUCAUUGUAUAAGAAAAAUGUCAGUCCAACCACUUGUAGAUCAAAUGAAAUUUUGCUUGAGUAUUUUUCUUUGAACUUCUUUCCACUCAAAAUUUCCUAGCAAUAAAAAACAAAGUGAAAGAGAAUAUAAAGGCGCUUCAAGGCAAACUUCAAGGACUCGCUCAAGAACAUUAUGCAAAAAAGAGUUUGCAUGCAAGCUUUCUCCAAAUUCAAUAGCCUACAUUAUAACAGAAAUAGAAGGGUAAAAGGGAAGAGUUAAUAAAAAUAAGAUUAGCUAGCAAUUUGUUUUGCAUAUAUAUUAGAUACAACACACUUGAUGAAAUCAUUUCUUGCAUAUGAGAUACAACAUUGUCAUUUAACUGCAUACACAGUGCUACAGCCUCUCAAUUUGCUUUUAAGACAGGCAUCCCAAGAAGUUCCUAUAAAACCACCUUUAGUAAAUAUCUGAUAAGCACUCAUAAUGCCUCACCAACAAACCAAAAGGUAUCUAUGUUGAACAAAGAAAUAAAACAUAUUCAAAAGAAUUAAACUGAUUGCAAAAUUUUCAGGGAAGAAAGCUGAUCACAGAAGUUUAGCCAAAUGAACACAAGUUGCCAAAAAAAAAAAAAAGUAUGUAUAAGCAUGGAUACUCAGUCAACUACUAAAUAAUGAGCAAACGAAAGGUCUGCAAUUAGGUACAAAAAAGGGCCAUUGCACCAAAAUAAUAAUAAAAAAUACAAACCACAUUUUUUAAAUUGAUAACAAAAGCAUAACAUCUGAAACACCAUUUUCAGCCAUAUGCAAACUCGAUGAAUCAAUACCAGAGAAACGAAAAAACCUUGCAAUCCUCACCUGCAAAUUCAGAGGCGAUGGAGUUCCGUUACCCACAAAGACCAUAAAUGCACCAAACAGAAUAAACACAACAAUAAUUAAGCUUACUCUCAAUUCAAAGCCUCAAUCUUUAUCUAAGCUAAGCAACAACAAAAAAAGGCAUUGUAAAAAGCAACAGAAAAAUUACUGAGAGUAACGUAAUUUAUACCAAUAAAUUACCAUUCAAAUUCAAUUUUGAAGUAACCCACCCCAGUUACCCCACCACAUUUCCGAAAGACUAAACAAAAACACAACAAACUCACCCCAAAUUUUCCAUUUUAUUCGCUAUCUUUCAAUCAAUCAAACGUACCCUUUAAACUUUUUCAUCAAACAUUAUAUAAACAAAUUAAAAUCCUAAUUCCAAAACAAACCCCUGUUUUAAAAAUUUCUUAUCUGUCUUCAUAAAGCAAUCAGAAAAUGCAAGCGCACAAACAAAUUACGGAACCUUGGGGAAGAGAUUGAUGGUACAGAAGACGGAUAACCUGAGGUGGGAGCUUCGUGCACCAUCCUUGGCUGUUUCGUGUUGUACGAUUAAAAAGGAGAGCAAAACGGAAAACAAAAACCGAAGAUCACUUCGCAUCAGCUCUCGAUUUCCCCAUAUUCAGCUAAACCGCAAUAACCUAUGAGAAUCGUUCAAAAACGAAAAAACCCCGAUAUAUAUAAAAGAAAAAGUCGGAUUUGAGGAAAAUAGAGAUGAAAAAAAUACCCAGAAGAAGGAGAGGAUGAGACGCUGUAUAAUGCAGAAUGAGAAAGGAGGGAGGCACUCGAGAACAACGUUUUAGUUUUCUGAGAAAGAAAACUCCAGAAGCAGAGGAAGAGCGCUCACCGGUCCACUUCCCUUCUACGAUGGCUGACACCCAGACCGAAGAGGCAAAUCAGUAAAUGGCUCAUUUUACUAUUCCAUCGAUUAAAACUUUAUUUCUUUUUAAUUUUUUUAUCAAGAUUUUUGGAUUAUUUUUUAUUUUUAAAUAUAUUUCUUUAAUGUUAAAAAUGUUACUAUUAAUAUAUUUAUAUUUAUGAUUAAAAAUUUUAUCAUAUAUUUUGUUUUUUAGUUUGUAUCCACUUUUAAUUUGCAACCUUUAUUUUAAAUUUGUAGUAUUUUCUUUUUAGUUUUAAUUUGUACCAUGUAAUUUUUUUUCGCGCCCAUAUUUUUAAAAUUUUCAUUUGUACUCAUAAUUUUUUAAUCUUUUUGUUAUAUGUGUGUUUGGGCCCAAAAUAAUAGUUUGGACCGAGGGUAGGAUCAUACUCGGCCCGGGAGGCCGUGCGGCAAAAGGACCAUGGAUCGUUCAGCUCGUGGGCUUCCAAGCCUAGGUUAGUUAGAUCAGAACGCAAGUCGAGUCCUAGUACAAUAGGGAGUCUCGACGAGAUCAAUAAUCCAGAAAGCGAAUCCGGCUCAGUUAAGGACUAGAUUCAUAGUCCUAGUGAAGAUAGGACUGGUCGAGGUGUUGUUGACCCGGAAAGGGAGACCUAAUCCGAGUAGGAGUUUAACUCGGAUUCAAGGUCCAGUGCUAUAAAUAGGGGAGGCUAUGCGUCAGUGAAGGGCUCCAACUCAACACACAAAACUGCCCUGCGCAAACUCUCUCAACAACUUGAGAUUUUUAUUUUCUCUUUUCGCUGACACAUCUUCCGUUGGCAUCAACAGCACUGUGAAAGCAACUGGUGACAUCUUAAGUCGGCAUAGAUAGCUCUGUCAUCGUAGAAUCAGUCGGUCUCGCAGUAUCUUCCGUUGGCAUCAACAGCACUGCGGCGAGGACGGUUGGUUAUCUAUCCAAGUCUCGGUCGAGAAGGAUUUCUGAAUCCUUAUUGAUUGAGGUCGUCUUAUUAGCUUUCUCGGCGAAGUAAGGCGUUACAUUAGGCUCGGCACAUUGCACGCCGAGGUUGUUCAUGAUUGGAUACUCACAGGUGGGAUUUAGAGUUCGGCAUUCCAACGGCCGAACCACGUUCAUUAUCAAGACUUACGUCCGUUUUGAGUAUCUGUGCCCCUACACCUUGGUGUUUAUUCGGCGUGAGUUUACUCUGACGAAUACUAUCACUGUGACCGAAUCUGACGACGACGACUCGUGAACUUCGUAAAAAUAGUAGCCUUGUCUUCAGGCUUGAGAACCCAAGAGGCCGAGGUGUGUUCCUUUCUCGGCCGCAGUCGCAAGACACAGAAGUUAGCCGCGCACCCAACGCAACAUCAACAAAUUUACUCCUCGGCCGAGCUCGGCCGACGAGUUGGCACGCCCCGCAUUCACCGAAGGACGUAGUUAGCUUAUAGAUUACUCGGCCUGCGCGCCACGUAGGCUUUGUAGUUUUUAGGGUCAACAAUGUGAAAUGUACCAAUUUUUUUUAACACUAUACAUUCUUUUGCCAUUUAUUAUUUCUAAUUGUUACAUAGUUUUUAUCCAUUUAUUCAAUCAAAAUGUUUGAAUUUUUUUAAUGUAACCUUCUAUGACACACCCCGUCCUAAGGAGGGCGUGACAGAUUGCUAGUGAUUCAGUUUUUAUUUAUGCGUAUUUCUAUUUAUCUUCUCAGCUUCCGCACUGUGCAUAUGGUUACGUCACGCUCACGUGACGCCUAGCACGCCCUCUUAGGACGGGGUGUGUCAUUUUAUAAUAGUAUUAUAAAGAGGGAUUUUAAAUUUAUUGGAUUAUAAUUCUCAUAAAAUAUCAAACAAUUAAUGUCAAAACUAUAAAAAAAAUAUAAAUAUUAAUAGUAAUAUAAUGAGGUGUACAAAGUCAAUGGACUUUGAUCAAACUCUGAAUAUCAUUAGGGUGCGUUUGUUGCACCGGACUGUCUCGGACUGGACUAGCUGCAGGGACUAAGCUGGACUGGCUUAGACUAGCUUAGUGAAGCGUUUGGUGCAGUGUCGAACUAAAAAACAGAAUAAUAAAAAUUAAUUCACUUUUUAUUUGUUAUUUUUUUGGUUUUCUAGAAUCCCCUAUUUUGGUCAAACUAUUUCCUUCUUUUUCUCCCAUGUCUCUUCCCUUUUCCUUAUCCUGUUCGACUCUCUCUCCCUCCCUCCCUCCCUCUUCACUUCCUCUCACAACUUCAUAAUCUACUGCAAACCUUCAAAAUCAAACCACAUAGCAAAAAAUAAAGUGAAAAUUUAGGAGUUGGGGUUGGGGUGCAUGUGUGAUUGCCUCGAAGGUGGGAGAUGGAUAAGGUUUGCAAUCAGGGAGUUUCAUGUUUUCUGGGUUUGGUUUUCCUUCAGUCAAUCCCAUCGUUGAUUUGAGCUUAUACCCACUGCAGAUUUUGUGUGUGUGUGUGUGUUUUAUAGGUUUCUGGGUUCGGUUUUCUGGGUUCUAUUUUGCAGGUUGGAUCUGGAUUUGAAAAAUGGAAUGACUGCAUAUUUUUUUUGUUUUGAAUUUUGCGGGAUAUGGGUUUGAAAAUGGUUGUGGAAGCGAGGAAGAAGCAGAUGGGAGGGGCGAAGUGAGGAAAGGCGAAGCGGACAGAUGUGGUCUUAGCAGUCCGCCCAAUUUUGGGGGGCCUUGCGAAGCCCCUCUAGCAAAUCGUUUAGUCAGGGUUAGUGUAGGCGAGUCUCAUUAACGCUAGUCCGUGUGUGAAACAAACACAGGAUUACAGUGACAGUUAGUCCAGUCCAAGCUAGCGAAAGCUAGCGAGCUCAAACAAACACACCCUUAAGGUUUUAAUCAAAGAAUGUUAGGGACUAGGGACCGCAUCCAAAGUAUCUAUUAGUAAAUUUACUAUGCCGUGUAGGGAAAAAGGCUGAAAACAGGUAACGAUUGAAGGGGAAAUCCGUCCACACACUAUAGAUUAAUAGUGCCAACCCAAAACUAGGUUUUAGUAUAUAUAUAUAUAUAUUUUUAUAUUUGGAUCUUAAAAAGUGAUGUAUUUGGAUCUUAAAAACUCAAAUUCUAGAACUCGUUUUGAGUUUUAAAAUUUGAGUCCUUGCACUGGAGGAGAAGAAAUUGGACUCAAAAUUCAUAUUUGAAUUUUAACAAGUUGGUUGUGUAUUGGAGAUUAUUGGACUCAAAUCUCAUUAUUCUUGGUUGAGUAACAAUUUUCUUAGUUGGCAUGGGCUCCACUUUCAACUCAAAUCUCAUAUUGAAACUCAAAUUGGGUCUCCAUUCCCCCAGAGACAUAAAUAUGAGUUUUAAGCGAAGUGUAGUCAAUUUGGAUUUCAUAGGAUUUUAAUAGAUUUUGUUAAGGGACAUAUUUUAAAAGAUUUUAAUAGAUUUUACAAUUCUAUAUGGAUUUUGAAAGAUUUAUAUGAAUUUCCAUUAUAAUUUUCUAUGGAUUGUAUGAACUUUUUUCAUGGAUUUCUUAGGAUUUAUGUGGACAUUUUCACGGAUUUAUAUCAAAGUUACAAGUGGCUAAUAUAUUUCUUCCCAAAUUUUUAUCGAAUCACAUCUCAUAACACAUCAACCCAAAAUCUUAGUAGCAUCAAAUUCAUGUCAAAAAUUGCCACAACAUUACACACAUUAUACGAAAAGCAAUUAAAACCAACAGAAACUUCAUUAGACGAAAGGCGGAGGAAAAAAACUCAACCGAUUCGUCAGAUACUUCUUGAGGCAUUUAAACAAACAACUUGUAGGCCAAAAUUGCAUAACCCUAGUUCACCAAACCAGUACAGGGAAUUCCCGAAAAACAAUUUCUUUCCACUUUCUGAUUAAAAAAAAAAAACCCAAUUGCCAUUUUCACGUAUUGACACCAGAUCAAAACGAAAAACCCAAAAUUUUUCAAUUGCAUUCAUCUAACCUACCAAAAAAUUGUUACAGUUACGAUAAUUUAAAUUCUUUUCGAUACUUCAAAAAAAAUUGCAAAUAAGAAGUGGAUUAAGAAGAACACGAAUUAUAAAGCAAAACAACAUAAAGAUAAAAAUAUAAAGAUACAAUUGUUACUCAUCUUCCCAGAGGAACAAACCAAAUGCAGAAAAAAAUACAGCAAAAAUGCGAAAUGCAAGUUUAUAGGGAGGAAUGCUCGGAACUCAGGCUAGGACUAUUCAUCUUCUAUGGUUUGGAAUGAAAAAAAAAAUCAGACGGGGAGGGUUGGAUUGUUGAUGGCAUUUGGUAUUUAUACCACCCACUCUCAAAUCCAUCAAAAUCAUUCAUCCACCAAAAUUCUAGUAAAUCUUUGGCAUUCCCACUACACUUAGAUUUGUAUGGACAUUUUAAAAUUUUAAUUGACUACCCAUAGAUUUGGAUGUAUUAUUUAAAUCCUCUCAAAUCCUGAUUUGACUAAACUCUGAUUUUAAAAUCUUUUAAAAUCCACCUUCAAACUCCUAAUGGACUACACUCUAAUUUUAAAAUUUAUUAAAAUACCAUCAAAUCCAAAUUUGACUACACCCUUAAGUCUCUGGUGCAUUGGAGAACCUUUAGACUCCUAUGUAGAUCAAAUAUAAGAUUUGAGUCCAAAUUUUUUGGUGCAUCAGAGAUGCUUAGUGUGCUCGAAAUAUAAGGCGGUCAAGAUUGAAUUAAACGAUCAAGAUUGAAUUGAGAAAUGACGAUCAAGAUUGAACUAAGAAAAUGGAUUACCCAGUAAUUCAAAUUAUUGAAGACUGACCUAUAUUGGACUACCCAGUAAUUCAAACUAAUGAAGAUUUACCCAUAAAAUGAGACAUUAAUCUUGUCGUCCUUGGAGUACACGUACAAAUUUCUAGGGUAGUGCUAUCACACACCUAUUUUUACUUUUCAUACACCCCUCUCAAUUUUCGGACGUCGGAUAGAAUGAGUUGAAGAAGAACAAUGGCAAAAAAUUAAUAAGGAUGUGUAAGAAGUAAAAAUGGGUGUGUGAAGAACAUUUUUCCAAUUUCUAAUGAUUUAGCUCUUUGAUUUGAACCAUGAGAUAAGCAUGUGGUCUUCAUCAAGGUAAUGGAGUGGCGCGUGAGGAUCGUGUAAAAGAUUGAAAACCAAGAAACGAGAGGGUAUCAAAUGAUUGAGAGAAGUGUGUCUGGUUAGGACAACGAACUUUUAUAUUGACAGAUCUUUCCCAGCGACCGCCCAUAACUUUGAGCGGAAGUGACUAUAAAUUCUUGACCAUAUCACCAAGCAAUCGAAAUUCGUUAUUUUAAAUGGAAUUGCACAGAUAAUUCAUGUGAUUGUAGAGAGAUGUCUCAAAAUAAUCUGAAAGAUUUAAGAAUACUCAUGUGGUGGAAUUAAUUUUCUCAGUUCAAAUUGAGACAAUUGUGAUGUUGAAGGUUGGUAACGUACAAAAGGGAAAAGAAGGAGAGGCCGAAGGGCACGUCAACGACUCAAUGCACAAUAAAGAGAAAGAUCGGUUGUGUUUAAUUCCAAUCAAUUUUUGUCACAAUAAAGAGAAAGAUCGGUUGUGUUUAAUUCCAAUCAAUUUUUGUCAAAUGUGUGGUUUGUGUUCCUGGGUUUAUGCUUAGUGUGUAACUUUUUGACAGAACUUGAGCGAAGAUUGUUAUCGAAACAAAUUUCCGCCGUCUCUUCAUUUGACGAAAAUGCACCUACAAAAUAAUAACGCCUAAGAUUUGUUGGAAAUUAAAUAUUAUAAUUUAAAGGGUGCCGCAAGGGGCGCCAUCCCCUUUAGUGAUGUGUCUGUUAAAGGGUAUUACUUAAACUACCUAAACCCUAAAUGAUACAUCUCUUCGGCAAACAAUAUAUUUGAGUUCUAUAAAAACUCAAAAACUAUUGUCUUUUAAGAUAUAGAAUUAAGAAAAGAGUUUCCUCCAAUGUCUUAGUAAAAAUCCGAGUCGUGUCUUGAGAGUACGGUAUAUAUGAAGUUCGCCAGAGUCUGAAGAUUGAAGUGCUUUGACUUUGGAUUAUAGAUUGUUGAAUCCUAGGUGACGGACACCUACCGAACUACAAGCACAAGGGUAGGGGCGAAAUUCUGUCUUUAGAACAUUGCAUUUAUGCAAGCCUCAAUUUCUAAGUUUGUCAGUUUUUCUAACUAUAUCUUUAGUUGUUUAUAUGAAUUUUGUAUACUAUUGAUGUUGUGAAUUUCUUUAUGAUUAUUAUUAUUGAAAUUUUUGUGUUAUUUCCAUAUUUUCUAUUAUUGCUUGUAUAUAUAGUGUACAAAACAACACAAGAAUUUUGGGAUUUAUUGAUGAUGAUGAUGAAGAUAGAAGGUUAUUUGUCUUAUAUAUAUUUAUUAGAAAUUAUAAUCUAACUGCUUUUAAAUUAAUCUUAGUUUGAAUUUGAUUUCUCUUGGCAUUCUAGGCAUGUCACGAUCAGGCAAUGUUUUAAAGUUUGAGGCCUGGUAAAAUUAUGCAUGUUGCCACUGUUGUUGAUGUUGUUGUUAAUUAUAUAAAUUGUAUGAUAUAUAGAAAUCUCAUACUUGGCUACUACUCUAUGUACAUGUCUUUUUUAACUGCUUUACAUAGAAAUUAAAAGAUGGAGAUUCUAGUUUCCAGAAAGAUACAGUGAUAACAAUUUUUAUUAUAUGGGUACUGGAAUUAUUAUAAGAUCUGUUUAAAAUCCAUGUUUAGUGUUUGUCUCCUUUUUAUGAAGAAAGGUGUCGAUUAAGGCCAAGUGAAAUGGUAUGAUUGUGAGGAUGUGAAGACAAAAGGGGUUCCACAUCGGUGAAAAGAGAAACAUAACAAGACCUUAUAAGGAAUUGGGUUGUUCUCCAUAUUGUCAAUUGGUUAUGUGUUGGAAUCCCAACUUUCUUCAAUAGUCAUACAAAAUUGGCAUUAUUUGCAAAUCUAAAAGGGUCAUAAUGUACCAGUUCGUGGACUGAUGCAAUAUUUCUUUCGUGGGACAAAGGAGAUCAAUAUUUGAUCGGGCACGAGGAUGAUUAAUAGGUUUUUGUUGAGAAAACCCUUAUAUUCAUCAAGAUGUCAGCGAAAGCUCUUGAUGAAGAGUGAAUACCCAAAUAAAAUGGGGUUGUUUUAAAUUUGUAUUGAAAUAGUUGGAAAACGCCAGUACAAGAUAUGAACCCAACUUCCAUGGUAUCAUGGAAUAUAAGAUGAGUGCAGACUACUCAUAUAUAAGUGUCCAUUCAUGGAAAGAAUGGAAUACGUACGAAGAAAAUUGAACAAUUACUCAGGCAUAUAUGUGCAUAUGCAAAAUUGGGUCUAGCCUUCAUUAAUGAUAAGAACCCAGAAAGUGGAUGAAUUUGGCUUUGAGAAGCAACAAAAAUAAACUGAUAAACUGAACUCAUUUUAGAUGAGUUAUCUAUCAACGUCGAAAGAUGCUUAUUUAAUUAUGGGGUCAAGGUCCAAGACUUAUAUUGAACCAUGUGGCGGUUAAGUUGCAAAAAGAUGCAACUAUUUAACAAAUGGAUGGUUUUGUAAUGUGGUGGAAUUGGAAAUUGAAAUCUACCAUGUGAGAUUCAAAGAAAAAGCAUGUCAUUUGAAGUGCUGUUUUUGACAGUGAAAGGGUAUGCCACUGCCUCCAAAAUGAUAGAUUUUGCUCCUUUUCUGUCCCCAUAUGCGCAUUGCCAUGCACUUGGACAAUUUUUCCACGUCUAGUGCAUACAAUCGAUGCUUCCUAUCAUCCCAGGAAAACCUCGCAUCUCGCCCUUCUUCAGAAGCCUUUGCAAGUCCAUAUGAGUAGGUCUUCGGAGGUACUCUGCGGUGUACAAAGAUUUGACUGCUCCGCAAAACCUCAUCAGGGCCUCAAGAAUGGUUGAUUUCCCCAUCCUCGUUAUCUCAUCCACUUGGUCUGCAUAUCCUUCAUACGCAAGCAUCCGCAAUGCAUCAGUGAUUUUUUGCUGAGGCAGGAGACCCAUAACACCACAAGCAUCCUUCUUUUGCACAAAGUAAGAAUCAUGGUUGCAAACAUCAGUCAUGAUUCUGUUGAACAAAUGUCGUUCCAUUCUAAAACGGCGUCUGAAGCACGUAUCAGGAAAUGCACUGUUAUGGACAAAAUAAUCAUCCAACAGCUCUUCACCCUGUCGUUGCCUGCUUCUAUCAAGGUUUCUUGAACGGUUGGGCCUGCAUAUCUGAGCAACAGUCUGGAUGACUCGACGGGAAUGUGAGGUUCUGGCCAUUCUUGUUUCGUCAUCUCUCCUUCUACGCUCCUCAUCCUCUUCCAUCUCAUUUUCGGCUAUCUGAAGGUUGAACAUUCCUUCAGAUUGGUUAAACAAUUUUUCCUCUUGCUGAUCGAUUUCCCACAUCAUCCUUGAUGAAGAAAAAGACAUUGUAAGGAUGGAUGGUGAAGAAGAAGCAUAAACUAUGAAUAAUUAGAUUGAGAUGUUGAGAAAAUUGGUGUGAGAUUUGUGAGGAUGGAUGGUGGAUUAUAUGGACGAUUCAAAAAGGAUUGGAUUGUAGAUAAGGCCACGUGGCAUGCCAUUAUUCGUUAAAAAUAUGAUCGAAAUCUAUCCUCAAAGAUUCUGAAAAGAUGAUGACACGUGGCACGAUCGUAUUGGAUAAAAAUCUUAUCGAUAUCAAUCUCCAAUAAUUAUCUUUUCGGAUAAUGACACGUGGCGCAAUUUUGAACGAGUUAAAAUUUGAUCGAAAUCUAUCGUCAAAGAUUCUCAAAAGAUAACGACACGUGGCACGAUGACAUUGGAUAAAAAUCUUAUCGAAAUCCAUCGCUAAAUAAUUGUUUUUUUUAUAAAAUGACACGUGGCGCAACGAGAACGAUUUAAAAAAUCUUAUCCGAAAUUACAAAUAAUUUUAUUUUGUAUUAUUUAAACAAACAAAAAAAACUAAUAUUUUAUUGCCUAUUGCCAGGGGGAAGGCUCCAAUGGUGGAGAUGCAAAUGGCAAUUACUGUUCAUUAAUGACAGUUACUAUUCAUUAAAGGCAGUUACUGUUCAAUAUGGUGGAUUCAAUAGUGGAUUGCCAGGAGGGAGGGUUCCAUGAGUGGAGUUGCUCUUAAUGCUGGAAAUGUUUUUCUCCUUAAUUGUAUUGGGAACGGUUUGGACUAGAGGUUUUUUUUUGAGUUAAGUGUCGGAUUGUCCCCGUGAAUAGUCAUUCCUAAACCAUUUGUGUGGGCUUAAAUUCUUUGUAAUUAGUUUAAAGCAACGUCGCUUGUAAUAAAAAAACAUUAUAUAAAGCAACGUCGCUUGUUCAUUUUUUGAACUGUUGCAAAGUUUGCAACUACUUAUUAAUCUUUGAAACUAUAAGAGCUGUCUUAUUAUACUUUUUAUAUGCUACUUUCCUCCAUCGUCAUUUCUCUCCUUGCAUUUUAUGACUAACUAGCUAGCCAAAAUGUAAAUGCCAAAAGAUUGUUGGAGCCAAAUAAUAAAGUUCAACUCUAAUUGAAUUACUUAGUUAUAAUUGAUUUGAAUUAGGGUCAGAGUUUUAAUUAGUUAGCUAUUCCUUGUGCCAAAAAGAAAAGUGAAAUCCGUAUAUUCCUUCCUGUUGGUUAUAUGGGGUUCUUAUGUGGAAUACAUUUUCAUGGGCUUUAUAAGUACGGUUUAUAGCAGCCGCCAGUGAGUAUAAUUCUAGGAACUUGAAACUUAUAUAAAAUUGAGGCCCUAUGCACACUGCUAACACCACAAUAGCAAGAACUCCCCAUCAGUUUAUUGUAUAAGGAGCAACAGUGCAUAGAAGUGCUUCAAUCUAUUCCGUCCUGAAGUUUGAUCAUCCAUAAAUUCAUCAUGUUGUCUUCUCAGGUAUGCAAGGUUUACGUGUUUUGAUUUGAUGAACUGAUAAAGUUUACAAAGAUUUGGAGUUAAGUUGGUUAUUAAGAGUGUUUGACAAAUAAAUUACACAUGAGUCUUGCGUAGUCAAGGAACUUAUAUGAACAUGAAUUUGAAAAUUGUGAGUGUGCCACUACUUGUUCCCGCUAAUAGACUAUAUGAUGAAAAAUUGUACUAUUUAACUUCUAACUAAAAUGAAGAGGCUCAACUUAAAUUCUUUCUUUGUCUUACUUAUUUAAGAACUCCUCUUACAUAGAUAUAGAACAAGGUGAAAAUUAUUGGAAUAUGAAUUGAUAUGAAUUUGGUUAUAUAUAUAUAUAUUCAAUGAUAUUCAAUUGCAAUAGAAAAGAGCUGCAUUUAAAUUGAUUAAAUAAGGGAUUUGAUAUAAUGCGGCCACCGCCUAAAACAUCUUCUCCCCAUCGACCAACGCCCAAACAAAAGGAAGACUAUUCCUUUAUUGCCAAAGCAAGUCUAAGAAUUUCUCUUUUUCAAUAUUUGUUGUAUCAAACGAAAUAGUUUAUCAUCCAAAUCAUGCUUUACAAAUCAAACCUCCCUUUCCAAGCAUACAAUUCAAAAACAAAAAAUUUAGAAAAAAAAAAGGUUUGAUCUUAAGAAUGAUCGCAAACAAGCGAGCCAAGAACAGACAGGCUUUGGGCUUUUUAUUUUUUAUUAAUUCAACGUAUUACAAAAAAAAUAUUUUGGAGCUGCUUUGUCAGUAUAUAUUUGAAAACAAAGGGAAAGGGACACAGAUGUAGUUGGUUAAGAUGCUUCUCGAUUAGCUAUGAAAUCUUUAUACGUGCAUGGGUGUUGGCUGGUCAAUUUCUCACCUGCUCAAGCAUGCAUAAGCUCAGGUUCUAAAGUAUAAUUUAUACCCUGGAACUAGCAAAUUAAACUGUUUUUUAUGCUUUGACUAUAUACUAUAGUCUGUUUGUCCGUCCUAAAUAAAUAUUUUGUUAUAAAUAUGAUAUAUAUUUUUUCUCUCAAAACUGUUACGUAUGUGAUCAAUUCAAAAAGCACUACAAUUUAGCUUGUCAAAUGAAAAGUUUGAAGCGGUAGGUGUUAAGUUCGAGUUAUCUAAAUUAUGAGUUUGAUAUCUAAUUAUUAUAGCUGAUUUAUUAUGUGACUUAACUGAAUCCGUUAACCAUUAGGGUUUAUUGUUUAUACAGAAAAAAAAAGUUUGUUGUUGGGCUACUUAGUGAUCAACUUGCUAUAUCAUCAUGUUCAUGUGCCAUAUUUUGUUAUUGCCUAAUCACCUGUUCUUGUAACAGUCGUCUUGUUUAUCCAGAGACGGACCUUGGAUUUCAAAGUUGUCUGAGCUAAAUUUACCUCACAUACAAUACAAGAGAUAAAGGAGAGGAAAUUACUUUGUCACAGCUACACGAAACUAAUGUAUUUGGGAUAGGAUCUUCAGCCAUUACUGCUAGAAAUGCUCUUCUCGUCGGUUGUAUUUGGAACAAUUGAACUGGAGGUUUCUCUAUUUAGUUAAGUUACUUUCCAACCAUUUGCGUUUCAAAUCCUCUUCCUCCUCUUAGUCUAGUUUAAAGCAAUGUCACUUGUAAUAAAGAACAAUAUAAAACCCAAUUAGUCAAUAUUUAUGACAUGUUUACUUCAAGUAAAGAUACAUAAACCGUUGGAGCAAGGGAAUAAGCAAAAUAAAUCUGUUUAACUAGCCACCUAGUUUAUAUAAUUCUUAAUUUUCAGAUAUUAACUUAUAAGCUUUCAGGCGGGAGUUGUCCACACCUAGACGGAUUUCAUUUGUAUUAAAACAACAAAAUUUAAAAAAUCAGAAUGAUUUGAAUUCUCAUAUACAUGUCAUUAACAUUAAAAUUUGAAACAUAAACCCAAUAUGACGCAUUUUAUGGUCUAAUUGUAAUAAACUUACGAUGUAGUUCACCACAUGAUGUGCAUAAUUAAAAUAAGGCCCAAUGUUAGCGUACUUCUUACUCGCCCAAGCCCAAAACUAGAGUUGAGUUCGGUUUCAAUCUGUUCAGUUUUUUGUCAAAACCAUAACUAAACCAAAAUUUCGAUUCGGUUUAAUACUUUUAGGUUUUUGUUCGAUUCAGUUUAAUUUUAGUUUGGUUUGUUAAUGUUAGCGUACUUCCCAAUGCUCCCUCUUUUGUCUUCUUCCUUACUUGGCUUCGCGCUGAUUCGUUUGAACCUGCAAACGACCACGGACGGCUUUUCCGAAACCUUAGUUACGUCUCGUAUGAGCCCGAAACAAAAAGCCGAACAUUCUUCUCGCAACCAAAAUAUCAUCCGACCGGAGAAAAGUUAAGCACAGCAGAAAUGGAUCUGAGAGAAAGCGUCAUCAACCAAAACGACUUCGCUCUGGGGCUGACGAAGCAGCUGCUUCAGACCGAAGGCAAGCAAUCGAACCUCGUGUACUCGCCGGUGUCCAUCCACGUGCUGUUGAGCCUGAUCGCGGCCGGCUCAAAGGGUCCGACUCAGGACCAGCUGCUGUCUUUUCUCAAAUCAAAGUCCACCGACCACCUCAACUCCUUCGCCGCCGAGCUCGUGUCCAUGAUCUUCUCCGAUGGGUCCCCUAGCGGCGGCCCCCAGCUGUCGUUUGCUAAUGGGGUUUGGGUGGACGGGUGUCUCCCUCUGAAGCCUUCUUUUAAGCAGGUGGUGGACACCUCUUACAUGGCUGCUCUUGCCCAAGUCGAUUUUCAGACCAAUGUAAGCUCUCAAACCCACUGUCCUGUCGUUUCGAUUGUCUUUUUUUCCGAGGAUGCUCUUGAUCAAAGUCUUCAAUUUUUUCGAUGUGAUUAGAGAUGCUUGUUCCUUUGUUGAACCUAAAUUGUAGGCCUGCUGAAUCUCUUUUACUUGUAGCAUUUCAACUAAAAAUUUCCUUUCUCUAAUCAUUAAUGUUUGUGCUUGUUAGCUAUUACAGAAUCAUAUCGUAAUUCGUAGAUUUUUGUUAUAGUACGAUCAUCACUAGGUUAAUAGUAUUGAAGUAACAUGCAGGCUGAUAUAUCAUUGUUUUCUAACUUGUCGUAACUGUUGCUGGUGCUCGAGGCUGCUCAAGUGGCCUCGGGAGUGAAUUCAUGGGCUGAAAAGGAGACGAGAGGCCUUAUCAAGGAGGUACUUCCUCCCGGGUCAGUUGACAGCUCAACCAGGCUCAUCUUUGCAAAUGCGUUAUACUUCAAAGGAGCUUGGACUGAAAAGUUUGAUGCAUCACAAACGAAAGAGCAUGAUUUCUACCUUCUCGAUGGGAGCACAGUUAAGGUGGCCUUCAUGACCAGCAGGAAGAAGCAGUAUGUAAGAUCCUUCAAUGGUUUCUCAGUCUUAGGGCUUCAUUACAAGCAAGGUGAAGACAAGCGAUGUUUCUCCAUGCACAUGUUUCUCCCAGAGGCGAAAGAUGGGCUGCCAGCUUUGGUUGAGAAACUUGGUUCUGAGUCCGGGUUUUUGGAUCGCCAUCUUCCUAACCAAAAAUUUGCAGUGGGUGAUUUCAGGAUUCCAAAGUUUAAGAUUUCAUUUGGGUUUGAAGCUUCCAAUGUCCUUAAAGGUCUUGGCUUGGUGCUGCCAUUCGGUGGCGGAGGAGGUUUGACAGAGAUGGUGGACUCGCCUGUGGGUAAGAACUUGUACGUUUCCGGCAUAUUCCAUAAGUCGUUCAUCGAAGUGAACGAAGAAGGCACAGAAGCUGCAGCUGUGUCUGCCGGGCGUGUUAGGCGUUUGCGUCUGGUAGUGCCAAGGACGGUUGACUUUGUGGCCGAUCGUCCAUUUCUCUUCUUGAUCAAGGAAGAAUUGACCGGAACUGUGCUUUUCAUCGGGCACGUACUCAAUCCUCUUGCAGACUGAGCGUUGUUAUUCCCUGUAAAAGGCAAAUGUAUACGUAGAACUACACGAGAUUAUAUAUAAAAUGUAUGAUCAUCUCUAUUAAAAUAAAUGUAUGAUCAUCAUGUUCACGUCGUCUUGUUUAUAUAUAUAAAUGUAUGAUCAUCUGUGUUAAAAUAAAUGUAUGAUCUUCAUGUUCAUGUCGUCUUGUUUCUCUCAUAUGGCUUUUGUUGUUCGUUCUGCCAUGGCUAUACCUACCCGAAACUGUUGGAAAUGCUUUGGGGAUAGGCUUUUACCCAUUAAUGCUGGAAAUGUUUUUCUCCUUAAUUGUAUUGGGAACGGUUUGGACUAGAGGUUUUUCUUUUUAGUUAAGUGUCGGAUUGUCCCGGUGAAUAGUCAUUCCUUAACCAUUUGCAUGGGCUUAAAUUCUUUGUAAUUAGUUUAAAGCAACGUUGCUCUUGUAAUAAAAAAACAUUAUAAACCAAGUGCUCGGUAAUUAUUGCACGUUCAGUUAACAUGAAUCGGGACAAGUAAAGAAUCAUAGAACUUACGAGCAGGGAAUGUACAGAGGGAAAAUUUAUCUUAUCAACUGGCCAUGUAAUUUACAUAAUUCUUGAAUUUUAGGUUAAGUUAUAUUUUGUAGAUCAGGCGUAAGUUGAUUUUUUUUUUAAAUUAUUAAAGAAAUCAAUCAUCAAUUAUCACAUAAUGUGAUUUGUAAAAUAUUGUUCGAGUAGAUAGUCUCUCGAGAAUGACUCAAACUUUAUAAUGAUUUUGAUUUUUAUUACAUAGUAAUCAUGUCAUUAAGGUCAAACUUUGAACAAACAUCCAUUUACAUAGCAAGCAUGUUAUUAUGGUGUAUGCUCAUCGUCGCUUUCAAACCUUGACAUGUGUCUUCUAACAUAACCAUAAUGAAAAUUAUACUUUCAAAUUUAUUUUUUUUAUUUUGAAAGGAUGUCAACUAGUGCCAAGCUAGGACUAGAAACACAAUUUGGCAACAACAUUCCAUAUUUACCCCUGCUUUUGCUGGCUGUAUCUCAAAAAUAUAUGGGCAGUCCUCCUAAUUUUCAUCUUCUUACCGGAAUCUCACCCCACAAAUCAAAUUACAGCCCACAACUGCCUAAUUUUUGUUAGUACCAAAAUCAAGAACCAAUAACAAUAUCUUAUUAUUCGUUGCAGUUUAAAUGACACUUGUUGAUGAGUUUUGUUGCAGUUAAAUUUCAGGAUAAUAUUAGAGAGACUAAAUUUGAAGAUGAAAUUUACAAAUUAAAUGUUAUGUCACCAAUAAAAAUGAGCAUGUUUAUUAACGUUUAAAUGAUAAACCAAUUAUCAACUUCUAUAUAUGUUUGAACCCGAUGUUACACCAUCGGUUCGAGUAAUCGAGGCUAUUGAAUAAGCAGAAUUUUAGAUCGUUGAAAUUAUUAGAAAAUCUGAGCAUGCACGAUAGUUAUAACGGUGAGAAAAGUUACGGUAAUAUUAGCGUACUUCUUACGUGGCCACGCCCAAAACGAAGUCGUGGCAACUCGCGCGAAUGCCACUGCUCCCUCUAUCGUCUUCUUUCCCGCUUGGCUUCGCAUUGAUCGUUUGAACCUGUAACCGAUCACCGAUCACCGACGACCGACACCGACUUUCCUAUUUUCUCGAUGGUGAGAAAGCAUACGGCCCAAUAUUAGCGUACUUCUUACGUGGCCACGCUCAAAACGAAGCGUGGCGACUCCCACGAAUGCCACUUCUCCCUCUAUUGUCUUCUUCCCCACUUGGCCUCGCAUUGAUCGUUUGAACCUGCAACCGAUGACCGACGACCGACACCGAGAUUUUCCCAAACCUUGGUCCUUACUCUCGUAUAAAUUAGAAACGAACAGCGGAACAAUUUUCUCGCAACCGGAAGCACAGCAAACAUGGAUCUGAGAGAAAGCAUCAUCAACCAAAACGACGUCGCAAGGAGGCUGACGAAGCAGCUGGUUCAGACCGAAGGCAAGCAGUCGAACCUCGUGUACUCGCCGCUGUCCAUCCACGUUGUGCUGAGCCUGAUCGCGGCCGGGUCAAAGGGUCCCACCCAGGAGCAGCUGCUGUCGUUCCUCAAGUCAAAGUCCACCGACCACCUCAACUCCUUCGCCUCCCAGCUCGUGUCCGUGAUCUUCUCCGACGGGUCCCCCGUGGGCGGCCCCAAGCUGGCGUUUGCGAAUGGGGUUUGGGUGCACAAGCCUCUCCCGCUGAAGCCUUCCUUCGAGCAGGUGGUGGACGCUUCUUACAAGGCCGCUCUUGCCCCAGUCGAUUUUCAGACCAAUGUAAGCUCCCAAACCCUCUGUCAUGUCGUAUCGAUAGUGUUUUUUUUCAAUGCUGCUCAUGAUCAAAGUCUUCAAUUUUUUUCGAUUUGAUUGGAGAUGUUUGUUCCUUUGUUGAACCUAAAUUGCAGGCCUGCUGAUGCUCUUUUAUUAUUGUAGCAUUUCAAAUAAAUAUUUCCUCUCUAAUCAUUACUGUUCGUGCUUGUUCUUCUGAAUAGCUUAGCUGUUACGAAAUCGUAUCGUAGAUUUUUUGUUCGUUACUGUUUGUGGUUGUAAUUGAUCGAGAUAUGCAGGCUGAUAUCAUUGUUUUCUAACUUGUCGUAACUGUUGUUGGUGCUCAAGGCUGCUCAAGUGGCGUCGGGAGUGAAUUCAUGGGCUGAAAAGGAGACGAGCGGCCUUAUCAAGGAUCUACUUCCUCCCGGGUCACUUGACAGCUCAACCAGGCUCAUCUUUACGAAUGCAUUGUACUUCAAGGGAGCUUGGAAUGAGAAAUUUGAUGCAUCAGCUACAAAAGAGCAUGACUUCCACCUUCUCGACGGGAGCACAGUUAAGGCGCCCUUCAUGACCAGCAAGAACAAGCAGUAUGUAAGUGCCUUUGACGGUUUCUCAGUCUUAGGGCUUCCUUACAGACAAGGUGAAGACAAGCGGCGCUUCUCCAUGCACAUCUUUCUUCCACAGGCGAAAGAUGGGCUGCCAGCUUUGGUUGAGAAACUUGGCUCUGAGUCCGGGUUUUUAGAUCGCUAUCUUCCCAAACAACCAGUUGCAGUGGGCGACUUCAGAAUCCCAAAGUUUAAGAUCUCAUUUGGGUUUGAAGCUUCCAAUGUCCUAAAGAGUCUGGGACUGGUGCUGCCUUUCGAGGGUGAAGGAGGUCUGACAGAGAUGGUGGACUCGCCCGAGGGUAAGAAGCUAUAUGUUUCUAGCAUAUUCCACAAGUCGUUCAUCGAAGUGAAUGAAGAAGGCACAGAAGCUGCAGCUGCUUCUGCCGGCGUUAUAAGUGAGAGGAGGAUGCCCAUGACAUUUGUGGCUGAUCGUCCAUUCCUCUUCACGAUCAGGGAAGAAACGACCGGAACAGUUCUGUUCAUCGGUAACCUGCUCAACCCUCUUGCCGGCUGAGUGUUACAACCCCCUGGGAAAGGGCAUCAGAUGUACGUAGAAUAAUACGCGCGAGACUGUAGUAAAUAAAAUGUAUGAUCCUUGUAUACAUGUACUAUGUUUGGUUAUUACCUAAUCACCCUGUACUUGCAGCAGUUGGUCUUGUUUCUCCCAUGUGGCGAUUUUUGUUUGUUCUCCCAUGGCGUUUAUCCAUGUGUAGAAUCUUGAUUCUGAAUACUUAUUUUAUGAUGUACUCUGUUUGAACAAUAAAAGUUUUAGCCGACUGCAAACGUCGGUUAGUGUUAAAGUAUUUAAUAUAUAGAAUGGACGAGUGCUAGUGUUGUACCAUACACAUGGUUGGUGAUGAAAAAGAUUAAACUUUGAAUAUUCUAUAAAAUAUUAUUUAACUUGGGACGAGGAUCUUCUUUGUGAGGAUCUUAUGAAUUAAUUUAUCUUAACGGUUCAUUGUACAUCGUGUGACCAUCUUUCAUUAGAUACUUUUUGUGUUAAAUUUUAAAUAAAUUCAAAAUAAUUUUUGGCUGCAGGAUGAUUGAUAAACAGAUAUGAUGCAUUGAUUCCUAAAGUCCUCACAAAGAGAAUCCGGAUGUUUAUAGUCCUCCAUGACUGGAGAUGGCCUAAGAUGCUAAACACUUAACACUACCCAAUUUUUCCAGUUAGUUAAAUUUUCACAAUUAGUGUAUUAAAUUGCUUAAGAAAUGUUAUCAGCACUCUAAAAUAAUUGACCAUAUUUUCUUGACUCUUUUGUUAAAUUGCAUGAAGAUUUUUUUGGAUAGUCAAUAAUAUCUCCCAAUUGCUUAACAUAGAAUUAAAUAGAGUAUCGCUAACUAGAGCAUGAUAUGUUUCUGUGUCUUUGAUGCCCUUUGCUCGAGAAAAUUUAGUAUAGGGUUUUCAUCACAAAUGGUCCCUGACAUUGAUCAAACACAUCAUUUUGGUCCCUGACAUUGAAAAUCAAUAGAAAUGGUCCCUGACAUUGAUCAAACACAUCAUUUUGGUCCCUGACAUUGAAAAUCAAUAGAAAUGGUCCCUGACAUUGAUCAAACACAUCACAAAUAGUCCUUCCGUUAAAAACGUUUUGGGCAAUUUUCAAAGCUUUGUAACUCAAUCGUUUCUUAACCAAAUUCGACCCAUAAUAUAUCAAAAUGAAGAUAGGAAAGUGUAGAACAAGAUUAUACCUAUUUGGAAACCCAAUGGUUGCCGGAGAUGGCCGGAAAACAGCCUCAAAUGUGACUGGUCCGCGAAAAAACUGGAAAACUCGCCUGAAAUGGGGUAAACUUUAAACAUUCAUAACUUCUUCAAUAAUCAACGAAAUCGAGUGAUUCAAAAAUGAAAAUCAUACUUCUCGACGAGACUAAGAGAAUGGUAGCUUUCUUGAUGGCUAACUCAUUGUAGUUUGGCCGGAAAAUGACUCGAAAUUGGCUAACUCGAAAAUGGUUAUCCAAGUUCGAGCCAUUUUCCGGUCAAACCACGGUAAAUUAGUAGUCAAUAAAGAUACCAUUAUCUUUCUCUCAUUGAGAAGUAUGAUUUUCAUUUUUGAAUCACUCAAUUUCAUUGAGUAUUGAAGAAGUUAUGAAUGUUUAAAGUUUACCCCAUUUCAGGCGAGUUUUUCAGUUUUUUCGCGGACCAGUCACAUUUGAGGCUGUUUUCCGGCCAUCUCCGGCAACCAUUGGGUUUCUAAAUAGGUAUAAUCUUGUUCUACACUUUCCUAUCUUCAUUUUGAUAUAUCAUGGGUCGAAUUUGGUUAAGAAACGAUUGAGUUACGAAGCUUUGAAAAUUGCCCAAAACGUUUUUAACGGAAGGACCAUUUGUGAUGUGUUUGAUCAAUGUCAGGGACCAUUUCUAUUGAUUUUCAAUGUCAGGGACCAAAAUGAUGUGUUUGAUCAAUGUCAGGGAUCAUUUGUGAUGAAAACCCUUUAGUAUAUGAACGACAAACUACGUGUUAUUACGGCCACAGACGAUAAUCCAGACUAUUUGUUUAAUACUUAAGCUUACUUGUGGUCCCAUUAUGUAAAAAAAUUUUGCAUUAGUCUGCACACAAGAAAUUUUUUAUUGGUUUCAGUUGAGCUCAAAUAAUAAUAAUCUGUUCGUGUAAAAGUUAAAAUUUAUCUUAUUAUGUAAUUGAUUUAAAAUACCGUAAAUACUGAUUUAAAAUUAUCUCAUUGUCAGCUUGUGUGUCAUUCUCGUAGAAUUUGGAAUUAUUCACAUUGUUUAGUAACGUAGGAUAUUUCAAGAAGCAUUUUUGCUCACUAUCAUUUAGUGUAAUGUAUAUUCAUCAUUCUAUUUAUCAUCGUUAGAUGAGUUUGAAUUUUAAGAUCCGUGUAGUGGAUAGACACAAAUUUCAAAAUUCAAUCUCAUCUAACGAUAAUAAAUAUGAUGAUGAACAUAAAUCAAAUAAAUGAUGAUGAAAAAAAAUACAUAGAUAUUUCAGUACAUGAAAACGUCACGUUAAUGAAAGGAGCUGGAGCGCCUGCUGCUGACCUCGGUCAAACAGACGGUGUGGGUUUCACGUGGCUGGCGCGAAAUCUAAACCGUUAAUUUAAUGUUAGUUAUCUCUCCCCUUGUCACGACUCCCAUGUAAUGCUGUAAAGUCACAAGCACCCAUCGUUUGGUUCUAAUAUUACAACAGUACCGCCCAUGGAAACACAAUCUUAAGCAAUCUCUAAUACUCAUAAUGUUGUUGAAGUUUUGCACUAAUAAUAGUUGCUAAACAGUGAUUAGACAGUCAGAUAAGAGACAGGGUUUAUGAUGUGAUUUGGACGUCCCAUCCUUUGCCACUUAAAAUGUCUUACCUACCAAACAUAUCUUGAAAAAUAAUUUAGCUUGGUACGAAGAAUCACAAUUUUUGUUUAUAAUUGACGAAAUCAAUCAAUGCAUGUUUUUUAUCAAAUCAAUAUUUAUUGGGAUAUUCAUCCUUAAAAUCUUCAUUUUGUUAUAAAACAACAAUAUAUUUAUUAUUUUUAAAAUUUUGUAAUACGUUUAUUUAAGUAGUGACUUUGAACGUUUUAAAAUUGAAAAAUCAAUAUUUAAAUGCAAAGUUGUCCGUUUUGAAUAAUCUCUAACAAUAUUUUCCUUCUCGUAAAUGAGUAAGAUUGGUUUAUUUUGUACACAAUUAGAUAUUGAGAGUUGAAAUUCUAAAUACUAAGUUCUUCUUAACAUAUUUUCGUAACCAUUUAAGAUGUUUGUAUAUUCGAAGAAUAUGGAAAAAUUGAAUCAACCCAGAUUAUUAUUAUGGCUGUCGACAUCUUUUAUCAGAGGAUAGCCAUCAAGUCACACCGCAUAUCCAGAAAGAGAAAUCCAUCCAAAAAAUAGGAAAACGAAAUGACAUUCCUUAUUUUCCUCCAUGGACGUCCCUUCUCUCCCCACCACGAAGGUCCCAGCUGAAAAGAAACGGAUGGCACAAUCGUGAUUAUCACAAACAGGAAUGUCAAAUUGUAGCAAGAGCAUGGUCAGCGCCGUUACAAAUAAGUGGAAGUUCCUCGGAAGAGUAAGAGAACGCGACAAUCAUAACGUAAUCUAUCUCUUCACUUUCUCAAUCCUUUUCUAUCUUUUUUUUCUUUCUGGGUUCCUUGUACUUCUCAUAAAUAUUAAGAGUUUAAUUCAAAAGAAAGGAACUUUCUCUUUCAUUGCUUACAUUUUUUUUUUCAGAUUAUUUACUUUCCCUUCCUUGCAGUUGCUUGGAAGAAACCAAGCUCAGAAGACCUUUGUUUUUUGAGAAUUCAGUUCAAUCCGUUUAUAUAUAUAUAUAUAUAUGGUGUUGAUGAUUUACCAGAAGUGAUAGUGCUUCAACCGAGAAGAAGAAGCUUUUAGUCUUCAGAAAUUCAGAGAAAAGAUAAGGAAGUGGAAGAGUGAAGGAAAAGCAAAUCAAAAGAUGGGAGAAACUGCUCCUCAUCCUCCACCACAGGUGGUUGCUCGGCCGUCUCAGAUGCCUCUUGGGGCAGCGAAGGGUCCCCAUUUGGACUCCAACUGAGCAGCUCCACAACCUUCAGUAUUGCAUCCACUCCAACCCCUCUUAGCGUUAGUCUCUCUCUGUUUCUGUUAAUUUCUUCGUUCUGGGUUUUAUAUUUUUUGAGUAAAAAGCUGAUUAAAGUUGUGCUAUUUUAAUGGGUUGGUUUAAAAGUUGAAGCUUUUGGCACUACUUCUUAUUUAGUUUACUAGUUUGCUUUUUAUUCCUAAUUUUGCAAAUUACUUUUACUAUUUUUGUUUCGGAUUCUCUAAUUUAUUGUGUUCGAAUCUUUUUAAGUACUGUAAUUAGUUCUAAUAAAAUAAUAAGCAUAUGUUCCAUUACCAGUUUCAACUUAUCCUGCUUACAAGACAUCGAUAUCACUCGAAAAUGUUUAGGAAGUGUAAACGUAAAUUUCCCAUGUUUAUCAAAUGCAACAAACUGCUUCUAAUGGAUCGAAUUUUACAGCGGAAACAUUCGUACUCGCUUUUCAGCACUAUAUUGUGAUGCUCGGAUCCAUAGUUAUAAUUGCCACUAGUUUCGUGCCUCGGAUGGGUGGGGAUCAUGUAAGUUAUGUCCUCUAUACAGUAAAGUUUAUAAUAUGCCGGUUAAGAUUAGCGAUCACACACGUAGCUUUGAAUCCGUGAUGUUAAUGUUUGGGUUUUGUUCUCCCUUUGUGAUCAGGGUGACAAGGCACGCGUGAUUCAGACGAUGCUGUUUAUGGCAGCAAUAAACACUUUGAUCCAAACAUUCACGGGACAAGGCUUCCAACAGUGAUGACUUCGUCAUUCGCUUUUACCCUUCCGGUGAUGUCAAUCAUCAAUGAUUAUUCUGAUCGGAAUUUUAGAAGUGAACAUGAGGUAUGUAAAGUUUGAAACAUGUUAUUCAUAGAGGAUUUAACAUCACAUUAAUUUACUUCUUAAAUUGCUUUAAGAAAUUUCAGUUAUAGACUUUGAGAUGAAAAAUACGUGGUGCAAAAAACGUGUAAACCUUACAUACCUGUAGAAGACGUCAUGAUGAAUUUCUGGUUUUGAGGACGGAAUAGAUUGAAGCACGUCCAUGCACUGUUGCGUCAUAUGCAACAAACUGAUGGGGAGUUCUAGGGUUGUGGCAUUAGCAAUGUGACAGGGACCUCAAACUUACAUAGGCCUCACGUCCCUAGAACCCUACCCACUAAUGGAGACUAGAAACUCUUAUGAUCCUCUAACGAGAAUAAUAAAGCCAAUGGAAAUGUUAGCACACAAUUGUUGUACAUAUAACAGACUUCGAGCAAUUUUUGGAACACGUAAAACAUUGUUAAGAAUAAGAUCAUGAGUAUUGGUUUUAAUGGUUGUUGCAUCAAUAUUCUUAAUGGAUAAACCUGUUCCAUUUCCAACUGUGAUUUUAUCAAAACCUUGGAAUGGUGUAACUUGAUUCAAUGUGGUGGCAUCAGCAGUGAUAUGAUGAGAUGCACCAGUAUCAACAAUCCAUGCAUCAUGAGGAAUAUAUUGUUCUAUCUGCUGUGUUGCCAUAGCUGUUAAGUUUGCAGGUGGUUGUUGGCCUUGAAAAACAUAAUUCCCUUUGUGAUAACAUUCAAGAGCUGAGUGACCUUUUUUUCCCACAAAUCUGACACUCCAUUUGAAAUCUAGUAUUUGGUGUAGUAGCAUUUCUGUGAAAACAAUUGACUGCAGUAUGCCCUUUCUUGUUGCAGAUUUGGCACUCAAUCACUGUUGUUGACCUGCUCUCUGUGUUUCCAUUCCACACAUUUGAACCAUUUGACCUUGAAUUGCCAUACGAAAAAUCAGAAGAGUUUCCUAUGUUGUAACCCUUGCUUUUGAAUCCACCAUUUGUCUUGUAAUUAUUGUUACCCUUGUAGUUUGAACCACCAAAAGGUUUCUGCAUGAAAUGAGGUAUUGGACCAGAAUUUGAUGCAUUAGCCAUAAACCCAAAACCAUAGGGAACUUGAGGAUAAACUGGACCAGGAAAUUGCGGAGACAUAGGAGGUUGAGGCAUAUGAGGUUGCUGUGGAUAUUGUUGUGGCAAGACAAAUGGCUGUGGUUAUUGUGGCUGUGGAUAUUGUUGUGGAUAUUGCUGUGGUAAAACAAAUGGCUCAGCAGAAUAUGGAUAUGGAUUAGGAGUUAUAACACCACCAGUGGUUGCAGGUAAAUGACUAUGCCCUGCAGGAUUAGACCCUGAAGCAAAUGAAUUUCCCUGAGUUGACUAAGAACCCUAAACAUAUAAGGCAGAUAGACUUUGAGACCCAACACUUGUGUCUCAUUCAAUCUCUUUUUCAGCUCUAAAUUUUUUCAAGGAAAUGGAUGAUUCUUUGCCAUAUAUCACAGUUCGAAUAGUUGCAUACUCCUUCGGCAAACCAGCUAAACCAGCAAUUAUAACAUCAUUAUCAGAAAUGAACUCUCCAGUAGCAGUUAAUUGUUCUCUUAUACUCUUCAAUCUUAACAGAUAUUUAUCCAUCAAAUCUCCUCAUUUUUGAAUGGUGUACAACUCAAUUUUUAAAUGAUUUACCCUAGUUUUAGACACUGAAGCAAAUCUAUCCACAAGAUUCGACCAAGCCUCACAAGCAGUUAAACAUCCAAGAACAUAUUUAAUAGCCUCAUCAAACAAAGUAGCUAGUAAAAGACUUAGUAAUGGAUAUGUGGAUUCCCAUUCAACAUAUUCAGCAAGUUCAGAAGUAACUCCUCUCUUAGUAUCUAUUACAAAUUUUUGUGGACAACCAAUAGUGCCAUCAAAAUGCCCAAACAAUUUAUGACCUUUCAACACAUAUUUGAACUGAAAAGCCCAUUUCACAAAAUUAUCAUCCUUCAACUUUAUUGUGAUCAUUCCCAGUUUCAACUUUAACACUUGAAGUAGUCAUGAUUUCUUGAUCGAACACAUAGAAUUUGCAAAUAACAAACAAACACCCAAAAAUUUCUGAUAUACGUAUUGAAAGGAAAGACUGAAACUUUCUCACAACCCAAGCAAGACUGAAACUCGCUUAAUACUCAGGAAAAACUGAAACUUUCUUGAUGAAUCUUGCACACAAAUACAACACACAAUUCCAAUUCGGAAAAGAAAACACAAAAUCUUCUAAUCAGGACUGAAACCCAAUUACUCAACAGAAAUUCACACUAUCACUUGAAUUGCAGCUGUGAUUGCAGCCACAAAUAGCCAGAAUACCAACCGCCAGAAAGAACAACAAGGAUCUGCAAUCGCCAGAACUUUUGAACAAACCCGUUGAAAAGACCUUUCAGAAUCCUUGAACUGGAUAGCAGCGAAAGAACUAGGAUCGAAAACGGUAGUGAACCAUGGUCAGCGAUGAUACCAUAUUAACAGUGUUGAAUUGUGGCCAAGUGGCCAUCACCUUUCGGCUAAUAAACAAACAAAGAAAAGAAAAAGAAAGACAAAAUGAUGAGGAAACAUCAUGAUGAGGAGGCAUCAUGAUUAUGCUUUCUUGUAGUUUUUUAAUAACCAUAAUUAUUGUUUUUGUUUCGGGUAGAAGAGAAGAAAGGGAGAGCUCAUUUUUUAGAAGAAAGCAUAUUAAAGAGAGAAGAGGAGAGAGAGAAGGUAGAGCCUUUUGGUUAUAAAAGGCAUUCGAUUAUGCCUUUGGAUGUGGGAGGGGGGGGAGCGGCAGAUGAGAGAGCACAGGGAGAGCAUUCGGCUCUCCCAUUUGAAUAUGAGCUGCUCCUUCCCACCAUUUGUAAUAAUCCCAUUUUGUUAGUAAUCACUCAAUCAAAGAUGUUGGUGCUACUUGUGUAGCUUUUGGGAGAGAAGGAUUUUGAUAUGUGUUUCUUCUUCUCCAUUUGUUUCUUAGUUUGAGUGAGAGCUAUUGGGUGUAUGUGGGAUUUGGGUUUGAGUGUUGAACUCUAUUUGUAAUCUCCUUUUGAUAUUAAUGGAAUUUCCUCGCCGUCUCGGAACUGGAUGUAGGCUUACGCCAAACCAGUAUAAAAAUCCUUGUGUCUUUUGGAUUAUUUGUCUUGUCAUAUUUUGCCGUUAUUAGCUUUGAUUUCAUAUUUGAAGCUUCCGCACAACAAGUGGUAUCAAAGCUCCGGGUUUCGACUUGGAGGCUUUGUACUAGUAUGUCUAUGAAAUCUUCAAAUGACGGUGAAAUAUGUUUUUUGGAAAAAUUCGACUGGAGGAAUGACUUUGGCAUUUGGUCAAUUGGAGAUGCAGAGUUUGGCUGCAAAAUGCGUGGCGUUGAAGAAGGAUAGUAAGGGACUAUGCUGCAGUCAUUGAGCUUGCAGAUUGGAGAAUGGUUUCGGAAACAGCGUGUCUGCUGCAAUGUUGCCGUCGAUGUUGUUGAAGUGUUGGUGUUCGACAGCUGCAGAUGUAGUGUACUGCUUUUGGUGGGUUCUCUGUUGGUCAUCGCUGCACCGGAGGUGUUUGUGGGCUGUUGUCGACGAGUUGAGUGGGAAGGAGAAAAGGUAGAAGCAGUUGAAAAUUGAAAAGAAAAUGUUGGUUCUUUUUCUUUCGGCAUUUGUUUUGGCAGAAGGACAUCAUGAUGACAAAUGAUGUUGUUGGCUGGAAGAAAAGGGAAAAAGGCUAAGGCUAAGUUUUCUUUUCUUUGGCAUUUUUUCAACGGCAGAAAAUUUUUGGUUCUUUUUUCACUCCCAUUAGUUGCCUUUGGAGCAAGUUGAUGGAAACAUUGGAGGAGUUUGUGAGGGCCAAUUUGUUGAGUUCUGCAAGUUUGGAUAGUGAGGCACCACACUAUUUUGGAUACACCACAUGCACUGCAGAACAUUUGUGUGGAACCCUCUUGUAGAAGGCAAGUUAUAUGCUUUCUAACUUUGUUUGGUCUAUGGACAUUUAGUUGGAUUUGUUUGCCACUGCUAUUUGGUUUGUUGGUCUCCAUCAUCUGCAAUUAGUUUUCUUGAAGACUCCAGUUGAGGUAUGGUUUUGGAUCUCCUGCUGAUUAUUUGAAUUUGAAAUUUUUGGUUGUCCUGUUGGUGCUCAUGUGAUGAUGGUAAACUUGAGUGGAGGGCAUAGUUUUUUUGUAUGUGGUAUGUUAGACCUUGUUGCCAAAUUUGUAAUCAGUUUUGACUUGGAGAAUAUGCCGUGCUAUUUGAAUGAGUCUAUUGAUGCAGUUUAAGACCAUGGUGUUUGUAAGCAGGUGGAGUUCGUUCUGUGUCCAACUUUGGUAUGGUGUGCUUGAUCUUUUGUUAGUGAUAUUGAAGAAUUUCAGUUCUUCGUUUGAAUCACUUUUGUUUUGAUCAAGGCACUUAUGGUUUGCAAAUUUGGAGAAUACGGUAGAGAAAUGGUCUACUUUUGUUGGCUUUGGUAUAAUUUGAGUCGAGGUGGAGAUCAUUAUGAGUACCGGAAAGUUUGGGGAAUUUGAUUUAGUUCCCGUUGUCUUUAGUUUGUACUUUGGGUGAUUAUGGUGAUUGUUGAUUCGAUUCUCUGUGAUGGUUUCGGAACUUGGCCAAGGUGGAGAUUGUUGAAUUGUGGCCAAGUGGCCAUCAUCGGCUAAUAAACAAACAAAAGAAAAGAAAAAGAAAGACAAAAUGAUGAGGAAACAUCAUGAUGAGGAGGCAUCAUGAUUAUGCUUUCUUCUUUUGUGGUUUUUUAAUAACCAUAAUUAUUGUUUGUUUAUUAGCCGAAAGGUGAUGGCCACUUGGCCACAAUUCAACAAUCUCCACCUUGGCCAAGUUCCGAAACCAUCACAGAGAAUCGAAUCAACAAUCACCAUAAUCACCCAAAGUACAAACUAAAGACAACGGGAACUAAAUCAAAUUCCCCAAACUUUCCGAUACUCAUAAUGAUCUCCACCUUGACUCAAAUUGUACCAAAGCCAACAAAAGUAGACCACUUCUCUACCGUCUUCUCCAAAUUUAAAUCCUAUGAAGAAAGGGAGAGCUCAUUUUUUAGAAGAAAGCAGAUUGAAGAGAGAAGAGGAGAGAGAAGGUAGAACCUUUUGGUUAUAAAAGGCAUUCGAUUAUGCCUUUGGAUGUGGGGAGAGCGGCAGAUGAGAGAGCACAGGGAGAGCAUUCGGCUCUCCCAUUUGAAUAUGAGUUGCUCCUUCCCACCAUUUGUAAUAAUCCAAUUUUGUUAGUAAUCACUCAAUCAAAGAUGUUGGUGCUACUUGUGUAGCUUUUGGGAGAGAAGGAUUUUGAUAUGUGUUUCUUCUUCUCCAUUUGUUUCUUAGUUUGAGUGAGAGCUAUUGGGUGUAUGUGGGAUUUGGGUUUGAGUGUUGAACUCUAUUUGUAAUCUUCUUUUGAUAUUAGUGGAAUUUCCUCGCCGUCUCGGAACUGGAUGUAGGCUUAUGCCGAACCAGUAUAAAAAUCCUUGUGUCUUUUGGAUUAUUUGUCUUGUCAUAUUUUGCCAUUAUUAGCUUUGGUUUCAUAUUUGAAGCUUCAGCAAUACAAACAGUACAAGAUCAAUGAAUUCCUAUGAAUGAAUAAACUAAAGAAAUCGAAGAAAGAGAAUAACGAGAGAGAAAAGCUUUUCAUUUAUAUUGCUCUAACAGAAAAUGAUUACAUGAUAAAAAUCUAAGUCUCCAAAACAAUAAUUAUAUAGAGACUAGAAUGAGCAGAAUCACAAUAUUGCCUUUCUAACUAAUUCUUAUCUUCUAACAACCUCAACACUCACAAGCUUGACACUUGUCAUUUCUUACAACCACUCCUAACAAAUCCUAACUGUUUAUCUGGUUAAUAUAACGGAUGGCCGACGACCGACACCGAGAUUUUCCCAAACCUUGGUCCUUACUCUCGUAUAAAUUCGAAACGAACAGUAAACAAUUUUCUCGCAAUCGGAAGCACGGCAAACAUGGAUCUGAGAGAAAGCAUCAUCAACCAAAACGACGUCGCAAGGAGGCUGACGAAGCAGCUGGUUCAGACCGAAGGCAAGCAGUCGAACCUCGUGUACUCGCCGCUGUCCAUCCACGUGGUGCUGAGCCUGAUCGCAGCCGGGUCAAAGGGUCCCACCCAGGAGCAGCUGCUCUCAUUCCUCAAGUCAGAGUCCACCGACCACCUCAACUCCUUCGCCUCCCAGCUCCUGCCCUUUAUCUUCUCCGAUGGGUCCCCCGUGGGCGGCCCCAAGCUGGCGUUUGCGAAUGGCGUUUGGGUGCAGAAGCCUCUCCCUCUGAAGCCUUCCUUCAAGCAGGUGGUGGAAGCUUCUUACAGGGCCGCUCUCGUCCUAGUUGAUUUUCAGACCAAUGUAAGCUCCCAAACCCUCUGUCAUGUCGUUUCGAUUGUUUUUGUCGAUGCUGCUCAUGAUCAAAGUCUUUGGUUGUAAUUUCAGACCAAUGUUUCAAUGUCGAUGCUGCUGAUGCUCUUUUGUUCGUUACUGUUUUUGGUUGUAAUUGAUCGAGAUAUGCAGGUUGAUAUCAUUGUUUUCUAACUUGUCGUAACUGUUGUUGGUGCUCAAGGCUGCUCAAGUGGAGUCGGAAGUGAAUUCAUGGGCUGAAAAGGAGACGAGCGGCCUUAUCAAGGAUCUACUUCCUCCCGGGUCACUUGACAGCUUCACCAGGCUCAUCUUUACCAAUGCAUUAUACUUCAAGGGAGCUUGGAAUGAGAAAUUUGAUGCAACAGCUACAAAAGAGCAUGACUUCCACCUUCUCGACGGGAGCACAGUUAAGGCGCCCUUCAUGACCAACAAGAACCAGCAGUAUGUAAGUGCCUUUGACGGUUUCUCAGUCUUAGGGCUUCCUUACAAACAAGGUGAAGACAAGCGGCGCUUCUCCAUGCACAUCUUUCUUCCACAGGAGAAAGAUGGGCUGCCAGCUUUGGUUGAGAAACUUGGCUCUGAGUCCGGGUUUUUAGAUCGCUAUCUUCCCAAACAACCAGUUGCAGUGGGCGACUUCAGAAUCCCAAAGUUUAAGAUCUCAUUUGGGUUUGAAGCUUCCAAUGUCCUAAAGAGUCUGGGACUGGUGCUGCCUUUCGUGGGUGGAGGUCUGACAGAGAUGGUGGACUCGCCCGAGGGUAAGAAGCUAUAUGUUUCCAACAUAUUCCACAAGUCGUUCAUCGAAGUGAAUGAAGAAGGCACAGAAGCUGCAGCUGCUUCUGCCGGCGUUAUAAGUGAUAGGAGGAUGCCCAUGACAUUUGUGGCUGAUCGUCCGUUCCUCUUCACGAUCAGGGAAGAAACGACCGGAACAGUUCUGUUCAUCGGUAACCUGCUCAACCCUCUUGCCGGCUGAGUGUUACAAUCCCCUGGGAAAAGGCAUCAUGUGUACGUAGAAUAAUACGAGAGUAUAGUAAAUAAAAUGUAUGAUCCUUGUAUACAUGUGCUAGGUUUGGUUAUUACCUAAUCACCCUGUACUUGCCGCAGUUGGUCUUGUUUCUCCCAUGUGGCGAUUGUUGCUCGUUCUCCCAUGGCGUUUAUCUAUUUGUACAAUCUUGAUUCUGAAUACUUAUUUUAUGUUGUACUCUGUUUGAACAAUUAAAGUUUUAGCCGACUGCAAACGUCGGUUAAGUGUUAAAGUAUUUGGACAGGGAUUGUCUGCUUUUUCAUUUUUCGUGUCCUUCUGUUUUGUGUGUUCACAGUUAAACUACGUCAAUAUUUUAUAUUAUUUUUUUAUAGAAAUAAUAAGAUAAAAAUAAAUAAUAAUAUAAAAUAUUAACGUGACUUAACUGUAACCACACAAACAGGAGGGCACGGAAGACCACCGGAAGUGGAAGAGCGGACAUUCUUGUCCAAAGUAUUUAAUAUAUAGAAUGUACGAGUGCUAGUGCUGUACCAUAUACAUGGUUGGUGAUGAAAAGGAUUAAACUAUGAAUAUUCUAUAAAAUAUUAUUUACCCUAGGACGAGGAUUUUCUUUGGAUCUUCUUUACGAGGAUCUUAGGAAUUAAUUCAUUUUAACGGUUUAUUGUACAUCGUACGGUCAACUUUCGUUAGAUACUUUUUAUGUUUAAUUUUAAAUAAAUUCAAAAUAAUUUUUCACUGCAUGAUGCAUUGAUUCCUAAAGCACUCGCAAAGAGACUCCAGAUGUUUAGUUCUCCAUGACUGGAGAUGGCCUAAGAUGCUAAACACUUAACACUAACCAAUUUUUCCGGUUAGUUAAAUUGUUUAAUAAAUGCUAUCCACACUCUAAAAUAAUUGACCAUAUUUUCUUGACUCUUUUGUUAGAUUGCAUGAAAUAUUGUUCGAGUAAAUAAUCUCUCAAGUAUCACUCAGACUUCAUAAUGAUUUUGAUUUUGAUUACAUAGUAAGCAUGUCAUUAAGGUCAAAUUUUGAACAAACACCCAAUUACAUAGCACGCAUGUUAUUAUGGUGUAUGCUCAUUGUCACUUUCAAAACUUGACACCUGUCUACUAACAUAACCGAUGGCCGACGACCGACACCUUCCCAAACCUUGGUCCUUACCCUCGUAUAAAUUCGAAACGAACAGUAAACAAUUUUCUCGCAAUCGGAAGCACGGCAAACAUGGAUCUGAGAGAAAGCAUCAUCAACCAAAACGACGUCGCAAGGAGGCUGACGAAGCAGCUGGUUCAGACCGAAGGCAAGCAGUUGAACCUCGUGUACUCGCCGCUGUCCAUCCACGUGGUGCUGAGCCUGAUCACAGCCGGGUCAAAGGGUCCCACCCAGGAGCAGCUGCUCUCAUUCCUCAAGUCAAAGUCCACCGAUCACCUCAACUCCUUCGCCUCCCAGCUAGUGUCCGUGAUCUUCUCCGAUGGGUCCCCCGUGGGCGGCCCCAAGCUGGCGUUUGCGAAUGGGCUUUGGGUGCACAAGCCUCUCACGCUGAAGCCUUCCUUCAAGCAGGUGGUGGACGCUUCUUACAAGGCAGCUCUCGCCCUAGUCGAUUUUCAGACUAAUGUAAGCUCCCAAACCCUCUGUCAUGUCGUUUCGAUAGUUUUUUUUUCAAUGCUGCUCAUGAUCAAAGUCCUGAAUUUUUUUUCCCGAUUUGAUUAGAGAUGUAUAAAUAUUUCCUAAAUUGCAGGCCUGCUGAUGCUCUUUUAUUCUUGUAGCAUUUCAACUAAAUAUUUCCUCUCUAAUCAUUACUGUUUGUGCUUGUUCUUGUGCAUAGCCGUUACGAAAUCGUAUCGAAGAUUUUUUUGUUCGUUACUGUUUGUGGUUAUAAUCUAGGUAUUAAAUAUUGAUAAUAUCGGAAAUAUCGGUAGUCCAGAAACACGGAAAUAUUGAUGGAAAUAUCGGGAUAUUAUCGAUAUGUAUAAAAAUAAUAUGGAAACCACGGAAAUUGUAAGAAAAACUUGGAAAUUUUUAUUGAAACUUUGCAGGAUGUUUAUUUAGUCAAUUAUCUAUUAGUUUAUCACAAAAUAUUGGAAGGAAAUGUAUUACAUAAUAGAUUUAACUGAUUUAAGUUGAUUAUAUAGCGAACUAGCGAACUACCAAACAUUAUGAGUUAGAAAAUAUGUAGUAAUUAAUAAAAGAAGUUUAAACACACAGUCACCGACUAUUAAAAAUUGUACAUGUAAAAGCUGUAAAAGUUGAAUUAUUUAGAUGCUUUUUUUUCUUACAUGCCACCCACACACACACACACACAGACUCUCACACGCCAACACACACGCACACACAGAUCACACACACAUCACACACACAGACAGAGACUGAGGUCUCUCUUUCUCGAUCCUUCUCUCUUCUCUCUCGAUCCUUCUCCCUUCUCUUCGACAGAGACUGAGGUCUAUCUCUCUCUCGAUCCUUCUCUCUUCUCUCCCUUCUCCAUUCUCCCACACACACACCCAGAUCUCUCGAUCUCUCUUCUCCCUUCUCCCACACACACGCACAGAGACCUCGCCCCUCCCCCCUCGUCAUCGUCUCCACCGCAAAUCUAGGUCUUUGAACGUAAAUUGCAGGCCUGCUGAUGCUCUUUUAUUCUUGUAGCAUUUCAACUAAAUAUUUCCUCUCUAAUCAUUACUGUUUGUGCUUGUUCUUGUGCAUAGCCGUUACGAAAUCAUAUCGAAGAUUUUUUGUUUGUUACUAUUUGUGGUUAUAAUCUAGGUAUUAAAUAUUGGUAAUAUCGGUAGUCCAGAAACACGGAAAUAUUGAUGGAAAUAUCGGGAUAUUAUCGAUAUGUAUAAAAAUAAUAUGGAAACCACGGAAAUUGUAAGAAAAACUUGAAAAUUUUUAUUGAAACUUUGCAGGAUGUUUAUUUAGUCAAUUAUCUAUUAGUUUAUCACAAAAAAAUUGGAAGGAAAUGCAUUGCAUGAUAGAUUUAACUGAUUUAAGUUGAUUAUAUAGCGAACUAGCGAACUAGCAAACAUUAUGAGUGUAGAAAAUAUGUAGUAAUUAAUGAAAGAAGUUUAAACACACAGUCACCGACUAUUAAAAAUUGUACAUGUAAAAGCUGUAAAAGUUGAAUUAUUUAGAUGUUUUUUUUUCUUACAUGCCAUCCACACACACACACACACACAGACUCUCACACGCCAACACACACCACGCAUACACAGAUCACACACACAGACAGAGACUGAGGUCUCUCUCUCUCGAUCCUUCUCUCUUCUCUCUCGAUCAUUCUCCAUUCUCUCUCGACCUAGACUGACUCUCUCUCUCUCUCUCUCUCUCUCUCUCUCUCUCUCUCUCUCUCUUUCCCACACACACACAGAUCUUUCGAUCUCUCUUCUCCCUUCUCCCACACACACGCACAGAGACAUCGUCCUUCGUCAUCGUCAUCGUCUCCCACACACACGCACAGAGACCUCGCCCCUCGUCAUCGUCUCCACCGCAAAUCUAGGUCUUUGAACGUAAAUUGCAGGCCUGCUGAUGCUCUUUUAUUCUUGUAGCAUUUCAACUAAAUAUUUCCUCUCUAAUCAUUACUGUUUGUGCUUGUUCUUGUGCAUAGCCGUUACGAAAUCGUAUCGAAGAUUUUUUGUUCAUUACUGUUUGUGGUUAUAAUCUAGGUAUUAAAUAUUGGUAAUAUCGGAAAUAUCGGUAGUCCAGAAACAUGGAAAUAUUGAUGGAAAUAUCGGGAUAUUAUCGAUAUGUAGAAAAAUAAUAUGGAAACCACAAAAAUUGUAAGAAAAACUUGAAAAUUGUUAUUGAAACUUUGCAGGAUGUUUAUUUAGUCAAUUAUAUAUUAGUUUAUCACAAAAAAUUGGAAGGAAAUGCAUUGCAUGAUAGAUUUAACUGAUUUAAGUUGAUUAUAUAGCGAGCUAGCAAACAUUAUGAGUAGAAAAUAUGUAGUAAUUAAUGAAAGAAGUUUAAACACACAGUCACAGACUAUUAAAAAUUGUACAUGUAAAAGCUGUAAAAGUUGAAUUAUUUAGAUACUUUUUUUUCUUACACGCCACCCACCCACACACACACACACACUCUCACACGCCAACACACACGCACACACAUACACACAUCACACACAGACAGAGACUGAGGUCUCUCUUUCUCGAUCCUUCUCUCUUCUCUCUCGAUCAUUCUCCCUUCUCUCCGACAGAGACUGAGGUCUCUCUCUCUCUCUCGAUCCUUCGCUCUUCUCUCCCUUCUCCAUUCUCCCACACACACACACAGAGAUCUCUCGAUCUCUCUUCUCCCUUCUCCCACACACACGCACAGAGACAUCGUCCCUUGUCAUCGUCAUCGUCUCCCACACACACAUACACAGACCUCGCCCCUCGCCCCUCGUCAUCGUCUCCAUCGCAGAUCUAGGUCUUUGAAUGUCAAAGUUUCGAGCGCACCUCAAAUCCAGGCAAUCUGAUUCUGACGCUGUAGUCGUCGCCGCCACCACCAACUUCCUAAGCCAAGAAUGGAGAACCUGAUCUCGUUGGUGAACAAAAUCCAGAGGGCUUGUACUACUCUAGGGGACUAUGGCGAAGGUAGUGCAUUCGUCGUCGCCGUCGUCGCCAUCGCCGUCAGUGGUCAGAUCAACUCCCGGUCCCUCACCUUCUUACCUCUUCGAUUGAUUCAUGCAUAUGAAUUGUGGUUGUGUUUUCAAUCGCUCUGUAGCUUAGAUCUUGAUCUUAAUCAUGUUUUUGCAAGGUUUUUGGGAUGAAAUCGGCUCGGGAAUCGGCACACCCAUUUCCGGCGUUCUUCUCCGAGUAGCCAGUUCCAAAAAUAUCGUGAUAAUUUCGGAAAUAUUACGAUAUUAUCGAUAGUAUAGCUAUAUUUUGACGAAAACCCUUUGGAUACCUAUUAAAAUAUCGGUCCGGCGAAAAACCGAUAAUAUCGACGAUAUAUUGGCGAUUUUGUUCCUUGGUUAUAAUUGAUCGAGAUAUGCAGGCUGAUAUCAUUGUUUUCUAACUUGUCGUAACUGUUGUUGGUGCUCAAGGCUGCUCAAGUGGCGUCGGGAGUGAAUUCAUGGGCUGAAAAGGAGACGAGCGGCCUUAUCAAGGAUCUACUUCCUCCCAGGUCACUUGACAGCUCAACCAGGCUCAUCUUUACGAAUGCAUUGUACUUCAAAGGAGCUUGGACUGAGAAAUUUGAUGCAUCAGCUACAAAAGAGCAUGACUUCCACCUUCUCGACGGGAGCACAGUUAAGGCGCCCUUCAUGACCAGCAAGAGGAAGCAGUAUGUAAGUGCCUUUGACGGUUUCUCAGUCUUAGGGCUUCCUUACAAACAAGUUGAAGACAAGCGGCGCUUCUCCGUGCACAUCUUUCUUCC